rnacentral:lncRNA from 1 species
UUUUUUUUUUGUAAAUUCUUAAUUAAUUUGAAAAAGCAAAAAAAAUGGAAAAAAUAAAUAAAAGAAAACUCCCGAAGAAACCGAAAAAAUAAACAACAGGAAACAAAAAGAAUAAAAAUCCAGAAUAUUCUAGAACGUUUCCAGAACUGGAAAAAACGAAGCUGGAACGUUCCCAAAACAAUAAACGAUUGUUUCCAAAUUGACCGGUCCAUCCCGCCUUGCCUAUUGUGUUGGGCCCGUUGCAUGUAACACGUCCAAGCACAUUUGUUUAUUAUUAACAUUCGAAGCUAGCAUGUAGUACUGUUUUGCAUUUCCCCCCUUUUCCCUCUUUUCUUAAUUUUAUUUAUAUUUUGAAGUGUUCCACAUAUGCAUAUAUAAGUGAAAAAUAUUUUACUUAUUUUUGGGAACUUCUAAAAUGGCAUUAAAAACGGUUCAUGAAAUAUUAAAAAAAAACAUGCAAUCUAUGAAAAUGGUUUAUGCCAUUCAAAAGUAUGACCAUAACAUACAAAAAAUGUUCACAAGUAUAAAAAUAUGUUCAUCACAUUUUUACAGGAUGUUAAUGAUAUGGAAAAAAAUCACGAAAUUUUAGGAAUUUCAUACGCUUAUUUUUUCUUGAUAUUUAGGAAAUGUUCACAUAUUUUAAAAUAUAUCGUGAUUUUUUAAAAAAAGGUUCAUUAAAUGUCAAAAUCUUUCUCCCAAAGUUAAAAUUUUCACCGUGUAUUCAAAAAAUAUUCAACAUGUAUCUAAAUUUUGUUAGCUAUAUUAAAAAAAUGUUCAGCGUGCAUUUAAAAAAUUGAACGUGUAUUAAAAAUAAAUGGAAAUUGAAAAAUAAGAAAAACAAUAUAACAAGUAGGAAAAAAACAAGAAAGAAAAAAAUCGAACAGAAUCUUCAGAACACGACACAAAGGGUUCCUAAAACGGCUGGAAGCAAUAUUUUUGGACUGGCCCAUUUUCACACGUGACUAUAGACGGUCGCUCGAUAGGUCACACAAUAAGUGAGACAAAGGUGUUUCUCAAAAUAAAAUAAAAAAUAAGUGAGACAUAGGUUUUGCCCGCCAAAAUGCACUCUAGUUUGUUUUUUGAGAAUCCAAACACGCUCUAGUUUUCUUAGGAAACCAAACGUGCUUUAGUAGAAGAAAAUAAAAUAAACCGGAAGGAUGACGAGACAUAGUCUAUUCAAAGAAAAGAAAAGGAGAAUGGCUCACACAUUUAUUAUGGGCUGACCUUAUUGAAUCCAUCGCCUUCUUGUUCAUUGAUCGAAUGAUCCAUGGAUGUGUGCGUUGAUCUUGUGGAUUGAAGGAAAGACGAAGGCACGACGAUUCCUGAACGUGGCCAUAGACAUAUAUGGCAGAGGAUUGCUGGUGGAGGAGGAGGGGAUGCCUCCAUGGUCGAGAUGAUGCCCGACCUCAUCGAACCUAGGGGUUGGUGUGAGCUUGUCUAAUUCUGCAUUGUCCCCAUCGCCGACCAUGCCCGGCUCGAUACACUCUACGUCAUGGAUGGGGAGACUCGUUGCUUCGACACCCUCAUCUAUUGAGACAUCGAAUCAUCACCCUACAGGAGGGCCCACUGGCAGGGCUGUCACUGGCGCCAGCUACCUCCGCUGCCAACAAAAGGUAACCACUCCACCCAGUCCCACGCCCUGGUCCACAGUCACAAUGGCGCCAACACCAUAUACAUCUUCGUCCGUCCACUGAUACGUCCAUUUUUCAUCAUGUUUUCCGAUUGAUAUUCUUUUUGUUUUAAAGUUAUAUUUCACUUUAUGAUGCAAUUCUAAUACCUUUUAUCUCUUAAUUUGCAAGAUAUAUCACAAGUGGGAGAAGGCCGGCAGCUGAAAUUCUGGACCUGAAAAGAGCUACAGCAGAUAUAGCUAUUCUCCAGAGUUUCAAAUGACCUGAAAGUUACGGAGAUUUACUUUAGAAUAUAUAAAAACACCGCAAGAAAAAUAUACAUGAUUAGCUGCAACCCUUUGCAUUCGUUCUUGCUUUAAACAUGAUAUGGAGGAUAGCAAGAAUGAUUCCGGUAAAGAUGUAUGUGACAAAUCAACUGAAAAAAAAAUCAGCACGCCUGAUAAGAGUAAGUAGCGAAUCUAAUGGCUCCUGAUCAAACUCACCCGAGCCGAAGAAUUACAAUGAAAUUACAUAUGAAACCGUCAACUAUCAUCUCCCGCAGUAUCCUUUGUUCGAAACUAGACCUGUGCAUGGACAGCCCGGCCCGGAGGCCCGAGCCCGAAAGCCCGGCAUUCGGGUCGGGCCCCGGCUCCAUUUUUUGGCCCGAAACCCUGGGAAAGGCUCGAAGUGCCCAUAAAUAUACUUUAUUGUUUUAAUACCAUGAAUAUUAUUAUGUUAAUUGGAAAAUGUCACUGUUAAUGUGUUUCGGGCUGGGCUGGGCCAGGCCCGGGCUUGGGAGUUUUGCUUCAGGCUUUGACAAGCCCGACCCGAAACCCGGCCCGACCCGGUGAAUGAUCAGGUUUAUUUGAAACCUAUCAUACAUGGGUGUGGCUGGUGCAAGUUUGAAGGCAGGCGGUCGAGGACCUCGCAACCACCACAUGGACUGCUUCUUUAAUCUCAGCCGUUAUAAUUCGGUCCCACAAAAUCAACGGGUUCUAUUUUAUAAUUAACGAUGCAAAACAUAUACAUCCCAUCUUAACCGUUAUAAUUUGGACCCACAAAAUCAAUGGUUUCUAUUUUCUAAUUAACGUGGAAUUUCUAGGGAGUGCAUAAUUAGUAUAGGUAUAGAUAUAGAUAGAUAGAUAUAGAUAGAUAGAUAGAUAGAUAGAUAGAUAUCUGUUGCGUCAAACGUCUAAAAAUGUUGAACUUUUAUUAGAAAAUAUUAAACUUAUAUUUUUAAAAAGAAAAAUAUCUAUUAGAAAAAUAUUCUUGACGUAUACCAAAAAUGUAGAAUAAAAACCAAAAGAAACUUUAGAUAUGUGAUGAAACUCAGGAAAGAAGAAUAAAGAAAAAAGAAAACCGAGAAAAAGAAAAGAAAGCUGAAGCGUAACAAAGAAAGAAAACCAGUGAAGAAACAAAAACAAAACCUUAGAAACAACCAAAAAGAAAAAAAUAAGAAAACCAGUGAAAUUAUAGAAAAGAAAAAAAAUAGAAGAAAUUGUAGAGAACCAAGAAAGAAACACAAAAAACUAAAGAACAGUAAAUAAAAAAAACAGUGAAAAAUAGAAAAACCAAUGAAACGGAAAAUGAAAAUAGAAAACCCAAAAAAUAUCAGGAAUAAACAAAGAAAACCGUAAGGAAAAGAAAAAAAAGGAAAAAGACCUCGAACGAACCUACAGCUACAGCGAGCCGUCGAGCAACCGAUCGAACGUGGGAAGUAAAUGCUUCACCAAGACGGAAUAUAUACUCGUUAUACCUAAGAUAUAGUCAGGUAUCGCUAUGUCUCGCGCUCAGAGAGUCGAGACUUCCGACCCGCUGAAGCGCGGGAGCAUAUGGGCCGGCCUAGGUUUGCGUGUUCUACACUUACUCGGUUUCUUUUUUUUUUCACGUUCUUUUGAUUUUUGAUCCCAUUUUAUAAUUUUGUUUACACUUUCAAAUCGUCUAAACAUAUAUGUGACAAAAAUAUACUUUAUAUAAUAUAUAGAAAAAUGUUAAUCACGCAUUUGAAAAAUGUUGAACGAGUAUAUGAAAAAUGUUGAACAAGUAUUUGAAAUAAAUGUUCGAAAAGUAUUUGAAAAAAAGUUUGAAAAAAAUAUUUGACAAAAUGUUGAUCAUGUAUAUGAAAAUUUUGAACAACUAUUUAAAAAAUAUUGAUCAUGUAUAUAAAAAUGUUGAAUAAGUAUUUUCAAAAUGUCAAACACGUAUUUUAAUAUUUUUUAUCAUUAUAUAAACAUGUUGAACAAGUAUUUGGAAAAUGUUGAACAAGUAUUUCAAUUUUUUAAAUCAUGUAUAUUAGAAUGUGGAAUGAAAACAAAAAGAAACAAAGAAAAACAAAAAAAAUAAAACCGAAAAAUAAAAAUAAAAAAUGGAGAAUAAAAAAUAAAACCAAAAAAAUGGAGAAGAAAAAAGGAAAACCAAACAAAAAAUGGAGAAGAAAAAAGGAAAAACAGUAAACCCAAAAAAACCCGAAUAAAACCUCGUGAAAAACGAAAACAAAAAUAAAAAAACCAGGUCAAAAAUAAAAAACAAAAAUACGGUGGUAGACUGCUGAGCCGCAUCGCCAACCCCAAAAAAACACCUCUGCCACCCCUCCACGGCUGAGGCACAGCAGGUCAGCAGCACCAGAUUCGGCGAGCAUCGGCGGACGCGAAGGCAAAGGAGGAGGAGAGCAUGCCCACGGCACUUGAGGAAAACUACGACAGUGUGUUGCUCGAAAACUACAAAGGAGGAGGGUCCGCACGCUUAACGUUCGUUGACGAUAUAGUAUUAUAUGAGUUAUGUGAUUUGGUGACCGAAUGUUGUUCGGGGUCCCGGAUGAGAUCACAGACAUGACGAGGAGCUCCGGAAUGGUCCGAAGGUAAAGAUUGAUAUAUAGGACGAUGCUAUUUGUGAAGGAAAUAUGCCCUAGAGGAAGUAAUAAAGUUGUUAUUUUAUAUUUUCUUAUUCAUGAUAAAGGUUUAUUAUUCAUGCUAGAAUAGUAUUGAUCGGAAACUUAAAUACAUGUGUGAAUACAUAAACAAAUACCGUGUCCCUAGUAAGCCUCUAUUAGACUAGCUCGUUGAUCAAAGAUGGUUAAGGUUUCCUAACCAUAGACAUGUGUUAUCAUUUGAUAACGGUAUCACAUCAUUAAGUGAAUGAUGUGAUGGACAAGACCCAUCUGUUAGCUUAGCAUAAUGAUCAUUCAGUUUAUUGAUAUUGCUUUUUUCAUGUCAAAUACAUAUUCCUUCGACUAUGAGAUUAUGCAACUCCCAGAUACCGGAGGAUUACCUUGUGUGCUAUCAAACGUCACAACGUAACUGGCUGAUCAUAAAGAUGCUCUACAGGUAUCUUCGAAGGUGUUUGUUGAGUUGGCAUAGAUCGAGAUUAGGAUUUGUCACUCCGAGUAUCGGAGAGGUAUCGGUAAUACACAUCAUAAGCUUGCAAGCAAAUGACUAAGGAGUUAGUUACGAGGUGAUGUAUUACAGAACGAGUAAGUAGACUUGCUGGUAACGAAAUUGAACUAGGUAUGAAGAUAUCGACGAUCGAAUCUCGGGCAAGUAACAUGCCGAUGGACAAAGGAAAUUACGUAUGUUGUCAUAACGGUUCGACCAAUAAAGAUCUUCAUAAAAUAUGUAGGAGCCAACAUGGGAAUCCAGGUUCCGCUAUUGGUAUUGACCAGAGGGGUGACUCGGUCAUGUCUACAAAGUUCUCAAACCCGUAGGGUCCGCACGCUUAACGUUCAUUGACGAUACAGUGUUCUAUGAGUUAUGUGAUUUGUUGAUCGAAUGUUGUUCAGAGUCCCGAAUGAGAUCACGGACAUGACGAGGAGUCUCGAAAUGGACAAGAGGUAAAGAUUGAUAUAUAGGACGAUGGUAUUCGGACACCGGAAUAGUUUCAGAGUGCACCGGGUAGUCAUCGGAUCACCGGAAGGGGUUCCGGGAGGCCCCGGGAGGUCUAUGGGCCUAAUGGGCCAAGAAGAGACACACACAAGCCCACAGAGGGGCUGACGCGCCCUCUCCCUGGCCGCCGGCCCUAGAAGAAGGAAAGGGGGUGGUCGCUACCUCCUCCUGCCUUUCCCCCCUUUGGGAGAAAGGAAAGGGGGUGGGGGGGCGCCACCUCCCCCUUCCUUCCCCUUGGCGCCAAAAGAAGGAAAGGGGGGAGGGCGGCCUAGGGCAAGCCCAAGUAGGAUUCGUACCUACUUGGGGCGCCCCUUGGCCUCUACCCUCUCCCACCCACCUAUAUAUAUGUGGGAGGGGGCGCCUAGCACACCCCAGACAAUUGCCUAGCCGUGUGCGGCGCCCCCCUCCACCGUUUACAACCCCGGUCAUAUUUUCGUAGUGCUUAGGCGAAGCCUUGCGAAGAUAACUUCUCCGUCACCACGCCGUCGUGCUGCCGGAAUUCAUCCACUACCUUGCCGUCUUGCUGGAUCAAGAAGGCGCGGACGUCACCGAGCUGAACGUGUGCUGAACGCGGAGGUGUCGUACAUUCGGUACUCUAUCGGUUGCAUCGUGAAGAAAGUUCGACUACAUCAGUCGCGUUGUCAAACGCUUCCGCUAACGGUCUACAAGGGUAUGUAGACACACCCUCCCCUCUCGUUGCUAUGCAUCUCCUUGAUAGAUCUUGCAUGGGCAUAGAAUUCUUUUGUUUUCCAUGCAACGUUUUCCAACAAUUUAGACACCGGAAGAGUUUUGGGAGGUACCGGGUAGUCAUCGCUUCACCGAAAGGGGUUCCGAAAAGUACCGGGAGGGUGAUGGGCCUUAUGGGACAAUAGAGGGGAGCACACCAGCCCACAAGGGGGUGGCGUGUCCCCCUAUGGCAGCCGACCCAUGGGAGAAAGGAAUGAGGGGGAUUCAGCCUCCCCCUUCGUUGCAUGAUUCUGUUUUAUGUGUUGCAUCUUGCAACGGUUCAAUUUACCAAAUGGUGGUAUAAGCGUUGCGCUAUGCUCUAGUAACACUGAUAAGGCAACACAUCUUAAACUGUUGGUAAAGACAUUAGCAACGCAUAUAUGAACUUGUAGAUACGGAAAGAAGCGUUGCUAUAGGGGGGCCAUGUUGUAGUGUCCCUUCUCUCUUUUCUCUCAUUAAUUUUUUAUUUUUGGGCACUUUGGCCUCUUUUUUUCCUUUUUUAUUUGGGCUUCUUUGGCCUAUGUUAUGUUGUAAAGUCAGCAGACUCAUCCCAACUUGUGAGGGAAUCAUAGCUUCUAUCAUCCUUUCCUCACAUGGGACAAUGCUCUAAUAAGGAUGAUCAUCAAACUUUUAUUUGCUUACAACUCAAGAAUUACAACUCGAAACUUAGAACAAAACGGAACGGUGGAAGUUGCAUGGCAAUAUAUCUCGGAAUGGCUAUGGAAAUGCCAUAAUAGGUAGGUAUGGUGGCUGCUUUGAGGAAGGGUAUAUGGUGGGUGUAAUGUACCAGCGAAAAUUGUGCGGUACUAGAGAGGCUAGCAAUGGUGGAAGGGUGAGAGUGCGUAUAAUCGAUGGACUCAAUAUUAGUCAUAAAGAAUUCAAAUACUUAUUGCAAAAGUCUAAUAGCUAUCAAAACAAAGUACUACACACAUGCUCCUAGGGGGAUAUAUUGGUAGGAAAAUACCAUCGCUCGUCCCCGACCGCCACUCAUAAGGAAGACAAUCAAUAAAUAAAUAAUGCUCCGACUUCAUCACAUAAUGGUUCACCAUGCAUGCAUGCUACGGGAAUCACAAACUUUAACACAAGUAUUUCUAUCAAUUCACAUUUACUCACUAGCGUGACUCUAAUAUCGCCAUCUUUAUAUCUUAAAGCAAUCAUAAGGAAUCAAACUUCUCAUAGUAUUCAAUGCUCUUUAUAUGGAAGUUUUUAUUAUAUUCCUUUUGGAUGCCCAUCAUAUUAGGAAUAAACUCAUAACCUAAGCAAAUUACCAUGCUGUUUAGAGAGACUCUCAAAAUAAUAUAAGUGAACCACGAGAGUUCAACAAUUUCUAUAAAAUAAAGCCAACGCCGUGCUCUAAAAAGAUAUAAGUGAAGUACUAGAGCAAAAUUGCCUAGCUCAACAGAUAUAAGUGAAGCACAUAGAGUAUUCUAAUAAAUCACGAUUCAUGCGAAUCCCUCAAAAAAGGCGUGUACAGAAAGGAUGAUUGUGGCAAACUAAAAAGCAAAUACUUGAUUGCGGCUUGAAGCUAUGUUAGUUUUUCCCCAAAGAGGAAGGGAUGAUGCAGCACAGCAACAGUAGGUAUUUCCCUCAGUGAUGAGACCAAGGUUAUCGAACCAGUAGGAGAACCAAGCAACACCACAUAAACAACACCUGCACACAAAUAACAAAUACUCGCAACCCGACGUAAGAGAGGGGUUGUCAAUCCCUCACGGGUAAAAGAAAUUUUGUAGUAGUUUGGAUAAAUAGAUCUCGCGGGAACACGAGAUAAAAUAAAUAAAUAAAAAGUGCAGCAAGGUAUUUUUGGGUUUUUUGGUCCGCAAAGGAAAAACAUAUUGAGAAGAGACCCGGGGGCCGUAGGUUUCACUAGUGUCUUCUCUCGAGAAAUUGCAAACUGUGGGUGUACAAAUUACUGUUGGGCAAUUGAUAGGAUUUCAAAUAAUCAUGAUGAUAUCCAGGCAAUGAUCAUUACAUAGCAUCACAUCCAAAAUUAGUAGACUGACUCCUGCCUGCAUCUACUACUAUUACUCCACACAUCGACCACUAUCCAGCAUGCAUCUAGAGUAUUAAGUUCAUAAAGAAUGGAAAAAGCCUUAAGUAAGAUAAAAUGAUGUAAAGGGAUAAACUCAAGUAAUAUGAUGAAAACCCCAUCUUUUUGCCCUUGAUGGCAACAAUACAAAUACGUGCCUCGCUACCCCUACUAUGUCAUUGGGUGAGGACUCCGCAAGAUUGAAUUCAAAACUAAGCACCUCUCCCAUUGCAAGAAAAACCAAUCUAGUUGGCCAAACCAAACCGGUAAUUCGAAGAGAAAUACAAAGAUAUCGAAUCAUGCAUAUAGUAAUUCUGAGAAGAUUCAAAUAAUAUUCAUAGAUAAUCUGAUAAAAAAUCCACAAUUCAUCAGAUCUCGACAAACACACCGCAAAAGAAGAUUACAUCAGAUAGAUCUCUGAAAGAACAUGCGGUGCCCCCAUGUUUGGUUUUGGUAAUUGAUGACAAUCUCUAUGGACUAAUGGUUGCCUUGAGUUAUAUUUGAAGGAUUUGUCCAUAGGCAUUUCUUGAAGUCCAUGUGUUGGUUUCAAGGAGUUUAUGUGGUGACCAAGGUGUUAUUAAGGAAUUAUCCAAAGAUUGGUCAUGUGAGAGUAGAGCUUAUUGCAAGCAUGUCUUGAAGAAGAAGAUUGUGUGAUCAUUCAUGUUUACCUUCAAGACAUCAUCCAAAUGAAGAGAGUUGGAAAGAGUCAAGGUUGAUCAAGACUAAGUCAAGAGUGAAUCAAGUUGAUCAACACACAAAGCGCACAAGAUGUACCGAGAGGGAUCAAGCGAUCCCAUGGUGUGGUAAGCAUUGUCAAUUACGCUUUGUGUACUAACCCAUGAUCGUCGUGAGAGUUCUUUGUGGGGUUAGGUUGCGGUGUGCAAGUUCAAGUGAAGCAUCAUGAAGAGAUCAAAUGCUUGAAGCUUGCCGUCCAUUGUGGUGACAAUGGACUUGUGAAGAUGUGCGGAAGAGUGGCUCACCCAUAGUGGAGUAUGGGGGAGCAAUCAACUAGUCUUCAUCGAGCCAACACAACCAAGAAAGGUGGUCCAACUUGAGGGGGUCAAGAUCGUCAUCAUCUAGCUCAAGUGGACCAUGUGCAAGGCAAAGGUUUGCUCUUGAUAGGUUUUCUAUUUUACUGGUCUCAUGAUGGUAGUUGGGAGACCGGGUUAUAGGAUCGAUUGCCGUACUAUCAAGGGGGGCUCUCGAUGAGUAGCUUGAUCGUAUCGUUCAUAGAGAGCUCAAACCAUUGCAUCCUUGCAUCAUCUUUGUUGGUUCUUGUUUGGUUCUUCUCUUUGUGAGUUUUGGAGCUUAUGGUCAUCUUGAUGACAAACUCGAGUUCAUCGAAAACGGAGUUCACUCGCAUCUUCUAUGAUGUUUUCGAUGUUGGAGGUUAUGCCGGUUCUUCUCGGUUGGAGGUUUUUAUGCUACUCAUCGUCUUGUAUCCAACAAGCUUGAGUUUGCUCAAUUCGGAGCUCAUAUGAAGAAGUUAUGGCAGUUCUGGUUUUCUCCCUGCGGUAGUACCGCGGCCAGAGCGGCAGUACCGCUUAUCGCCCCAAGCGGUAGUACCGCUGUCCAAAGCGGUAGUACCGCUUAUGGCCAUAAGCGGUAGUACGGCUACGGUUCCGCGCUGGUACCGCCUCGAUUUUGGGUCUUGCAUUUUUCGUGUCGAGUUUUGCAGUAGUUGCACGGCAGUAAGGCACGGCAGUUCCGCCUAUAAGCGGUAGUACCGCCCCGAUGGGCGGUAGUACCGCCUAGCGGUAAUACCGCUCCGGUCGGGCGGUAGUACCGCUACUGCAUUUUUGGUCCCGUGUUCUGCUCCUCCAGCGGUAGUACCGCUGGGGUGCGCGGUAGUACCGCUUAUAAGCGGUACUACCGCCCCAAGGUUCAUGUUUGGUUGCUCCUUUUCCCUGCUUCUUCCGCCAGAGCGGUAGUACCGCUCGUGGAGCGGUAGUACCGCUCGUGUGCGGGCUGAGCACAUAACGGUUGGAUUUUUCCCCUUCUAUAAAAGGGGGUCUUCUUCCCCAAUGAACCUUAUCCAUUUGAGCUCGUGUUCUUCCCCCAUUGUUGACCUUCUUCGAGCUUGCUAACUCUCAAUCCCUCCAUGGAUUCUUGCUAGUUUUGAGGGAAAAGAGAGAGGAGAUCUAGAUCCACAUUUCCACCAAUCACUUUCUCCUCUUUGUGAGGGGAACCCCUUGGAUCUAGAUCUUGGAGUUCUUGGUGUUCUCCUUCUUGUUCUUCCUCUCUUUUUCCUCCCUAGCAUUAGUUGCUUCGGUGGGAUUUGAGAGAGAAGGACUUGGGCACUCCGUGUGCCCUUGCCAUUGCAUUUGGUGCAUCGGUUUGAGUUCUCCACGGUGAUACGUGGAAGUUACAAGUUGAGAAGCUUAUUACUCUUGGGUGCUUGGUGCCCUUGAGCUUGUUCCUCUUGGGUGCUUGGGCGCCCUAGACGGUUGGUGGUGUUCGGAGCUCAAUCAUUGUGGUGUAAAGCUCCGGACAAGUGUCGGGGUCUCCAAUUAGGUUGUGGAGAUCGCCCCGAGCAAUUUGACGGGUUCCGGUGACCGCCCCCAAGUGUUGCCAAAGUGUACGGGUUCGGUGACCGCCCCCAAGGGUUGCCAUUUGUACGGGUUCGGUGACCGCCCUCAAGGGUCCCUUAGUGGAAUCACGGCAUCUUGCAUUGUGCGAGGGCGUGAGGAGAUUACGGUGGCCCUAGUGGCUUCUUGGGGAGCAUUGUGCCUCCACACCGCUCCAAACGGAGAUUAGCAUCCGCAAGGGUGUGAACUUCGGGAUACAUCGUCGUCUCCGCGUGCCUCGGUUAUCUCUUAUCCGAGCUCUUUACUUAUGCACUUUACCUUGUGAUAGCCAUAUUGCUUCUUGUCAUAUAUCUUGCUAUCACCUAGUAGUUUAUCUUGCUUAGCAUAAGUUGUUGGUGCACAUAGGUGAGCCUAGUUGUUGUAGGUUUUGUGCUUGACAAAUUGUGACGCCCCCGAUUCAAUCGUACACUAAUCAUGCACGCAAAUGUGUACGAUCAAGAUCAGGGACUCACGGGAAGAUAUCACAACACAACUCUACAAAUAAAAUAAGUCAUACAAGCAUCAUAAUACAAGCCAGGGGCCUCAAGGGCUCGAAUACAAGUGCUCGAUCAUAGACGAGUCAGCGGAAGCAACAAUAUCUGAGUACAGACAUAAGUUAAACAAGUUUGCCUUAAGAAGGCUAGCACAAACUGGGAUACAGAUCGAAAGAGGCGCAGGCCUCCUGCCUGGGAUCCUCCUAAACUACUCCAGGUCGUCAUCAGCGGGCAGCACGUAGUAGUAGGCACCUCCAGUGUAGUAGGGGUCGUCGUCGACGGUGGCGUCUGGCUCCUGGACUCCAGCAUCUGGUUGCGACAACCAGAAAGAAAGGAAAGGGGAAAAAAGGGGGGAGAAAGCAACCGUGAGUACUCAUCCAAAGUACUCGCAAGCAAGGAACUACACUACAUAUGCAUGGGUAUAUGUGUAAGGAGGCCAUAUUAGUGGACUGAACUGCAGAAUGCCAGAAUAAGAGGGGGAUAGCUAGUCUUAUCGAAGACUACGCUUCUGGUCACCUUCGUCUUGCAACAGGCAGAAGAGGGUAGGUCGACGUCCUCCAAGUAGCAUCUCCAAGUAACAUCUCAUAGCAUAAUCCUACCCGGCGAUCCCCUCCUCAUAUCCCUGAGGUAGAGCGACCACCGGUUGUAUCUGGCACUUGGAAGGGUGUGUUUUAUUAAGUAUCCGGUUCUAGUUGUCAUAAGGUCAAGGUACAACUCCAAGUCGUCCUGUUACCGAAGAUCACGGCUAUUCGAAUAGAUUAACUUCCCUGCAGGGGUGCACCACAUAGCCCAACACGCUCGAUCCCAUUUGGCCGGACACACUUUCCUGGGUCAUGCCCGGCCGCGGAAGAUCAACACGUCGCAGCCCCACCUAGGCACAAUAGAGAGGCCAGCACGCCGGUCUAAACCUAAGCGCGCAGGGGUCUGGGCCCAUCGCCCUGAGCACACCUGCACGUUGCGUGGGCGGCCGAAAGCAGACCUAGCCUAGUGGCGUUCCAGUCCAAUUCGGCGCGCGCCGCUCCGUCGCUGACGUCUGAAGUGCUUCGGCUGAUACCACGACGUCGGGAUACCCAUAACUACUCCCACGUAGAUGGUUAGUGCGUAUAGGCUCGUAGCCAGACUCAGAUCAAAUACCAAGAUCUCGUUAAGCGUGUUAAGUGUCCGCGAACGCCGAACAGGGCCAGGCCCACCUCUCUCCUAGGCGGUCUCAACCUGCCCUGUCGCUCCGCCACAAAGAUCCACACAGAGGGCCGUCGGGACAAAGGUCCUUUCAGCCCCCAAUCCGUGAAUCACUCGCGGGUACUCUUCGAGCUGACCCGACUUUAGUCGCCAUCUGUGUAGUAUGUAUGUAUGUAUAGUAUAUACCCGUGAUCACCUCCCAAGUGAUCACGGCCCGUGGUAUAGCAAGGCAGACUGACAAGAAUGUUGGGCCAAUGAUGAAACACUAGCAUCCUAUACUAAGCAAUUAGGAUUGCAGGUAAGGUAUCAACAGAUGUAGCGACAAUGUCAGGCUAUGCAUCAGAAUAGGAUUAACGAAAGCAGUAACAUGCUACACUACUCUAAUGCAAGCAGUAUAGAGGAGAAUAGGCGAUAUCUGGUGAUCAAGGGGGGGGGCUUGCCUGGUUGCUCUGGCAAGAGAGAGGGGUCGUCAACUCCGUAGUCGAACUGGGCAGCAGCAGCGUCGGUCUCGUAGUCUACCGGAGAGAAGAGGGGGAAGAAACAAUGAAUACCAAGUAAACAGAUGCAUAUCGAUGCAUGACAUGUCAAGAAGCGAUGCUAAGCGUGCCCUAACGUGGUAUAAGGUGGUACUGGUCAAGGGGGAAUCAUCCGGGAAAGUAUUCCCGGUGUUUCGUGUUUUCGGGCAGAGGAGCCGGAGGGGGCAGGUUGCGGGUUCGAUAGGUUAGGGGGGUGUGGUGGACGAACGGACUGCGUAUCCGGAAUCGUCUCGUCGUUCUGAGCAACUUUCAUGUUGAAAAUAUUUUAAUCCGGAUUACGGAUUAAAAGAUAUGAUUUUUAAAAGAUUUUAUUAAUUUCAGGAAUUUAAUUAAUUAUUUAAUUAAUUUCGAAAUUGCAUUUAUGACAUCAGCAUGAUGUCAUGCUGACAUCAUCAGUCAACAGGGUUGACUAAGUCAACCCGGACAGGUGGGUCCCGCAUGUCAUUCACUAUUAACUUAUUAACCUAAUCAAAGUUUAACUAACCUUAGUUAAUUAAGUUAAUUAAUGAUUAGUGUUAAUUAAUUCAGAAUUAAUUAGUUUAAUUAAUUACCCAAUUAGUUUAACUAAUGAUUAGGGUUAAUUAAUCCGGAAUUAACUAGAUUAAUUAAUUGCUUAAUUAAUUAAUUAAUUAAUUANNNNNNNNNNNNNNNNNNNNNNNNNNNNNNNNNNNNNNNNNNNNNNNNNNNNNNNNNNNNNNNNNNNNNNNNNNNNNNNNNNNNNNNNNNNNNNNNNNNNAUGUUGUUGUCGAUCGAGCGAGUCAGAGAGAGAUAUUGAGCGAGGAAGAAGAUGAACUCGCGAGAGGUUUUGUGCUGCCACAACGCGCAGCGUUUUCUGUUCUGUUAUUCCUCAUCUUAUCCAUCGUACAGGACUCCACUAACCACCUCCCGGCCUGGCAGCUGCGAUCCGCGAGAGUCGCUCCAUCCAGCGACUGGAUCGAUCAGUGACCAAGACCAGGAGGUGGGAGUAUCCUACGGAGAGGCGCAGCUCUCCACUACGUGCAUGACUUUGCAUGCUUUAUUACAAGAAACAGAAAGUAAACAAUGCUGCAUGCAUGAGAUUAUUUAGGCUAACAUUUCACCCCCUUAAUCUCACUGCACUACGCCGAUCAUCCCCAGCCUUUGCCGCAUCUCAAUGAAAUGGACGCGCCCGAGAGCUUUGGUCAGUGCAUCGGCGAGCUGAUCUUGAGUCCCAACAUGAUCUAUCUCCAUUUGCUUCUUCUCCAUACAAUCUCGCACGAAGUGAAACUUAAAUCGAUAUGUUUGCUUCGAUCAUGAUGAACUGGGUUCUUGCUCAGAGCUAUGGCUGAUUUGUUGUCCACCAGAAGCUUGAACUGCGCCGGUGAGGUACCUGUGAUAUCCUCCAGUAAUCGGCUCAGCCACAGUCCCUGACAAGUGGCAGCUGCUAUUGCAACGUAUUCAGCUUCGCAAGAAGAGAGGGCCACAAUCUUUUGCUUCUGAGAGCUCCAGGUUACCAGAUUCUUACCAAGAAAGAAGACAUGCCCGGAUGUGCUCUUGCGAUCGCCAGUAUCUCCAGCGUGGUCGCUGUCACUGAAUCCAAGAAGUUCAGCAGUUUCAUGGCCCCUCCUGUAGUUGCACCCAUAACGCAUAGUGCCUUUGAUGUACCUUAGGAUUUGCUUAACUGCUGCCCAGUGAUGAGUGCUUGGUUUCUCCAUGAAUCUACUGACUAUACCCACUGAAUGUGCAAUAUCUGGUGUUGUGGUCACUAGGUAGCGCAGACUUCCAAUUAUCCUGCGAUACAGAGUGGCAUCAAACAGAUCACCAUCGUCCUCUUUCUUCAGUUUGAGGCGACAGUCCAUUGGCGUGUGACAACUGUUGCAGUUGCUCAUAUCUGCCAUUUCCAAGAUCUUGCCAGCGUAACUCUUCUGGCUGAGUGUGAUUCCACCGCUGUUUUGCUGCACUUCAAUACCCAGAUAGUAACUCAACUGUCCAAGAUCGCUCAUCUUAAAGAGCUGUUGCAUCUGAUCUUUGAAGGAGAUUAUAUCUGCUGCAUUUGUCCCUGUGAUGAUCAAAUCAUCGACAUACACUCCUACCAGCAGGAAAGACUGUGAGUUGCCCCGUCUGUACACUGCAUGCUCUAGAGCACUUCGUGUGAAGCCAAGAGAGGAGAGGGUCUCAUCCAGCUUAGCAUACCAUGCGCGUGGCGCCUGAUGCAGUCCAUACAAUGCUUUGUGCAGACGCAGUACCCUUCCCUCUUGGCCAGGAACCUCGUAUCCCGGAGGCUGUGCAACAUAAACCUCCUCACUGAGAUCACCGUUCAGGAAUGCUGAUUUCACGUCCAUGUGAUGGACCUCCCAGCCAGAGUGCGCGGCAAGCGCGAGCAGUAGCCUGACAGUUUCCAUACGAGCCACAGGAGCAAAGACUUCUUCAAAAUCCACCCCCUGGCGCUGAACGUAUCCCUUUGCGACGAGGCGAGCUUUGUGCUUGACAACAUUCCCCGCCGGAUCGCGCUUGACACGAUACACCCAUUUCAGUCCGAUCGCUUUGUGCUCAGGCGGGAGCUGAGCGAGCUCCCAUGUACCAUUGUCGAUGAUGGACUGCAUCUCGACAUCCAUGGCGUCCUUCCAUGCCUUGCUUCCUAGUGCCUCGUCUACGUCGCGCGGCUCCUCGGCACUGAACAGACAGCGCACGAGCAGACAACGCUCAAACUGUUCGCGCACAGCCUGAUCUUCAGUCUCCUCCAGCACACUUGUGAUGCUCCGGUAGCGAACCGGCUGUCCAGUUGGCAGAUCAUGCCUGGAGUCGUGCGACUGGGGCGUGGCCGAGCGAUCUUCCACAGCUGUAGCGGGUGUAGCCAGAGCGGACUGUGGUGUCCCUGGUGCUCUCGAAGCAGGCGUGUUCAUCCCAGCAGGAGAGUCCGCAGGUGCAAGCGUUGAGGUUGUUGGAGAGCUUUGCGGUGUCGAGGCACACACGGGAGACCCGGCGUCUAUCUCAUGCACUCUGCUGGCAGUGGUAUACACCACGGUGAAAGUGGUCGGCGCAGCGCGGUUUUCUGCCACGCCCGGAGCGCGCCAUGUCCAUGGCCUGCUUUCUUCAAACACCACGUCCCGGGUCACCUGCACCUUCUUUGUUGCUGGGUUGUACACACGGUAGGCCUUGGAACCUUCCUCGUACCCGAUGAAAACCAUCGCCGUCGAACGAUCACUGAGCUUGGUGACACCGGGGCCGACGUUCUUGACGUGAACCGUGCACCCGAACGUGCGCAGGUGAUGCACGCUGGGCUUGCGGCCGUGCCACGCCUCAUAAGGCGUGACACCCUUUAGACUGCGCGUGGGCGCGCGGUUCAGCACAUACACGGCGGUCCUCACCGCCUCCGCCCAGAAGUACGCCGGCAUGUCCAUGCUCUUCAACAUGCACCUGGCCAUUUCCACGACCGUCUGGUUCCGCCGCUCUACCACUCCAUUUUGUUGUGGUGAGUAUGGGGCAGUGGUGAAGUGCUUGACACCGAUCUCUUCACAAUAGGCCCUGAAUUCGCGGAAUUGAACUCGCCGCCGCGAUCAGACCUGAACGCGCGCAGUCUGCAGUUUCCCUCUGCCUCCGCAAGAGUUUGCACCUUUCUGAACCUUGCAAAGGCCUCAUCUUUGGACUUGAGCAGCUCCAGCCACAUGUACCGACUAUAGUCAUCCACGAUCAGCAAAAAGUACUUGCUUCCUCCUGGUGUGGUCGGCUCGAUCGGCCCACAAAGGUCAGUGUGCACGAGCUCCAGCCCGUGCUCUGCACGGUACGCGGCGACUUGCGGGAACGGCGUGCGAUGUUGCUUUCCGAGGGCGCACCCAUCACAAUACUCUUCGACGUGGUCGAUCACUGGCAUGCCCCUCACCAUCUGCUUCGAUGACAUAGUGCGGAGAGCGCGGAAGUGCAAAUGCCCCAUGCGCGCGUGCCAACGCCAGGUUGCGUCGUCUCCCAACGCCAGCAAGCACUUGGGCGUGUCGAUCUCCAGCGCUCCAGUGUACAGGCGAUUUCCAGAGCGACGGAUGUAUGCCAGUGUUCGCCGCUCUGGGUCCUGGAUGGUCAUCACGCCAUCUUGGAUGUUGACGAUGCAGCCCGCUUCGUCUAGCUGUCCAACUGAGACAAUGUUCGUGCGCAGGCUCGGGAUGUGAAAAACACCAGUGAGCACGCGCUGCCCUCCGCCCUGACAGCGAAAGACCACCGAGCCGCGUCCGCAUAUGGCCACCACAGAGCCGUCGCCGAACUUCACCGUGCCAUGCACAGUUUCGUCAAGUGAUGCAAAGACUCCCUUGUCGCCCGUCAUGUGGCUGCUGGCGCCGGUGUCGAAGUACCAUACUCCGUCCGGCGAGGGCACUGGCAUAACCUUUUCUUCGUUGAGGAAGACCUCCUGCGGCACGGCGAUCUGUGGUGUGGAAACAGUGGUGGCCACGGCCAUGUACAGACCUGGGUCGUGCUCCGCCCCGCCUUGCACCAGAUUUGCCUGCUCCUGGGUGCCUUUCUGCUGCUGUUCACGGAGCCACGUCCUGCACUCCUUCUUCCAGUGCCCCGGGAUGCCGCAGUGAUGGCAUUUCCCUUUCUUUUUCUUGCCGCCUGAGCCGCCCGAUCCGCCUGCACCCUGGUUUCCCGACGUAGGCUUGCCGCCGCCCGCGCCUUUGUGUUUAGCGGGCGACUUGUUCUUGCCGCUGCCUGCGCUGAACGACGACCCGCCGCCACCGAUUUGUUUUUCUCUGGCCACCCACUCCUCGUGCGUGAGCAUGAGGCGCCCGGUGGACUGCGUGGCGUCGUCGAGGUCAUAGUGAUCCUCGCAAGCCGAGAAACGCCCGACGAGUUCCUCGAUGGUCAUGGUCUUCAGGUCGAUCAGAGAUUCGAUCGCCAUGGCCAUCGGUCGAUACUUCCGCGGCACCACACGAAGAAAUUUCUGAACGGCCUUGUGUUCGGUGAUGGGAUCGCCGUAUAGCUCCAGAUCCGCGACGAGGGCGGCGAGACGCAGCCCGAAAUCUUCGACGGACUCUCCGUCCUUGAACCGGAGAUCCUCGAAUUCUCGCCGGCGCACCUGUGCCUUGGCUUCGCGGGCGCGCUCACUGCCCAUCCGCAUCGUCCGGAUCAUCUCCCACGCCGUCUUCGCCGUGUCCUUGGCGGCCAGUACAUGCAGCAUCUCCGGCGGAACGCCGGUGAGAAUGAUCUGCAGCGCGCGCCGGUCGUCGUUUUCAUCGGCGACGUCGUCGGUCACCGCGGGCCAGACCCGGGUGACCUGGAGCUUCACCUUCAUCACAAGCGCCCACUCCAUGUAGUUAGUGCGCGUGAGCAUCAUGGACGCCCCCGCCUCCUCGCGCACGACGCGCUCUACCACCCGAUACUCGCCGCUGCCGGUGAGGCGCGCGAGCGGCGCUUUGGGUGAAGGCGUCUUCGUCGGCGACCUUCCGCCGCCCUUGUUCUUCCCGUCCGACUCGUCGCCAGACAUGACCACGGCGGAUCAAACACCGCCGCUGCUCCGAGAAACAAACACCCGAGGCUCUGAUGCCAAAUGUUGUUGUCGAUCGAGCGAGUCAGAGAGAGAUAUUGAGCGAGGAAGAAGAUGAACUCGCGAGAGGUUUUGUGCUGCCACAACGCGCAGCGUUUUCUGUUCUGUUAUUCCUCAUCUUAUCCAUCGUACAGGACUCCACUAACCACCUCCCGGCCUGGCAGCUGCGAUCCGCGAGAGUCGCUCCAUCCAGCGACUGGAUCGAUCAGUGACCAAGACCAGGAGGUGGGAGUAUCCUACGGAGAGGCGCAGCUCUCCACUACGUGCAUGACUUUGCAUGCUUUAUUACAAGAAACAGAAAGUAAACAAUGCUGCAUGCAUGAGAUUAUCUAGGCUAACAACCCAGGCCGACGGCGUGGACGCACAGGUAGGAGACCUGCGGCGGGCGGACGACGCAGAAGGUGAGCUUGAUGCUGCUGCCCUUGAGCUCGGGGUCCGCGAUCUCGCAGCUGGCCGUGGUGGCGUUGUCGCGGUCGGCGAAGUAGGCGUACGGCUCUAUGAGAACGAAGGGUGGCCGCUCGCCGCCGUUGUCGUCGUCCGGGUAGCCGUGAGCAGGCGGGGUCAGGGAUGGGCAGUCCUCGAGGCGUAUGUGCCUGCGAAUGAUCGGCCGUUCGUCUACUCCUGCAUGGUGGCCAUAAGCAGCAGCAGCGAGAUCCAUAGACCCCAGAUCCAGGUGUUCGUCCUGGCCCCUGGGUGUGUGUGGAUCAAUCCCACAUCGGCUGGCUCUUCUUGUUGGGUGUGUGGACGGAUUUAAGUAGGGGGAGGUUGCGGGGAUAGGAGCCGGAGGUGGAGACCGAUUCGAGAUGAGAUUGCAAUCAGAGUCGGAGUCGGAGUGAGAGUGGUGGGGAGCAAACCAAGGUGCCAGUCGCCUCUUCCUCCUCUUUCUAUCAUUAUUACAAGACUGACACAGCAUCUUCAAAAACAUGGACAGAGCUCGAUCAUCAAGCAAGCAUCCCACAAGACCGCAUUGUCAAAAAAAGCACAUAAUCUAAGACUUGUCUAUCAAAACUAAUACAUAUAUAUUAAUUGCGUUGUUCGGCGAACAUGACAAAAUUAUCCAAAAUACCAUUAAUCAGUAAUAAUACAACGAGAUAUAAAGAUAUGCGUAGCUACUCGCGCGUAGGUCAUAUCGUCGUCUCAAAACUCCUUAGGAAAUGAUGCCGCCAAAUUAAGGGUAAAAUUGGUCACGGAAUUACCCGAAUCUUAUGAUUGAAAUUACAAUAUAGAGAUACGCAGGGCUGCUUAUGGUAUAGGGCGAUCUCAAAACUCUACAAGGACAAGGCCCCAAAGUCGAUCCAAACCGUAUCUUGUGCGCAUCCAUGCAUGGCCUCUUAAGUCUCAUGCAUCUCGUCUUGUUUCCUGCAAUAAGGAUAAUCCUACACCUACGAAGUGGCUACGAAGGCCUACAUAAAUUUCCAAACCAUAAACCUCCCGGCCCCUGAUAUUAACGGGGGUGGGCCCCUCUCCCCAAAUUGAUCCAAUAAACCCCAUCAACGAUGUUGGUUACGUAAAACACGUAACAGAUUUUACAUAGGUCUGCCAUUGUCCCUGCAAUAAUAUGCUCAAUGUGUUUAAAGUCUUGCUAGCCGAUUUUGGAAACUAAAAAAUCUACUCUGACAUUGCAAUCCAAAGAAUAUAUUGGAAACUAGAGUGAAGCCAAAUAAUAUAAUCUUUCCUAUGUGGUUCUGCUCUGGUAAUUACUAUUCGUUUCUUGGCAUUGACAAAGAAUUAGUAACUGUGUUGAGACAGAAGAAAUUACGCAUGGGCAACAAGCACGGUAGGACACAUACAUCAACAGUUGAACCGUGUUCAUGAAAUGACAUAUCCAUCUUGAGUGUGAUCAUGCGCAGUUGCCAUUGGAUAAUCCUCCCACAGGGACGGGGAAAAGAGCCACGAUGAUAGCUCGUUGUCAUUAGCCUGGUCAAAGUAAAGUAGCUAUUAUUUAGGAAAAAAUGGAAUGCAGCUGUAAGCAGGUUAUGAUCAAGCAACAGACCGAACUGGUAAAAGUUUCAGACCAAUUGUGUAAACUAAGAUUAAGUCCUACAAAUAUUUUGUAUGACACAAUAUCAUGUUCUAUAUAUACUUCCCUUCGGGUCGAAAUUACUUGUCAUUUUGAAAAGUGAUGUUCUCAAUCCUAUGAAACUACUAAUUGCAACAGUAAAGAAGCGUGCCAUGGCAUCCUGGAAUCAAGAAUUACGAGUCGGCGAGUCGAGCCGAGGUUGAGAUUCAUAUACUAAUCAUGACUAGUGUAGACUACUGUUGGACUAGUCGACAUGGUACUAUAGUACUCAACUUAUAGUGAUACAGUCAAUGAUGGAGCUACUGGGAGGCGGUUGCAUUGGCCCCUCCAAGAUUGAAAAGAAUAUGUAUAUACCCAGGCUCAAGUCAAGUUUGUAGGUGAACAUGCAGGUUCAUGCAAAUCAACAAGGAACAUGCCACACAUAAUAUCAUGAAAACAAUAGUAAAGGUUGUAGUGCCAACUAUCAGUUGACAAGUUCCAGGUAACACUUUGUACAUGUGUAUCUUUCUAUUUGCUUAUAUAUGGCUGCACUAGAAACUUCUAACAAGAUAUUUGUAAGAACCAUGAACUUUUUAACCGUGUUUAUUUCUCAUGUGAUUGAGUAACAAUUAUUCGAAGUUGACGAUCUUGAUCUUUGAUUCUCUAUCGCUUAAUUGAAUGCACAUUUUAGAAAGUAUGCGCAACUUUACAUACAGAAGCCAUUUCAGAUCCAAAGUUACACAAGAAAAAAAAGAAUAUAACUAGUUAGAUGCAACCCUGUUAACUAAGCGAUAGCUACUUCUCGAGAAACCGAAAAUAGUGAUUGCUGAACAUAUACACACUAUGAUUCAAGCAAUUGUCAAUUAAUCAAUGAGGUUGGGACUUUCUCAUUUUUAUUUUCUCACAUAAAAAGAUUUUUAAGAUAUUUUUAAAAAGUAAUGUCUAAAAAUUACAAAAUAAUGUUAAUUUUGAACAGAGAACACAAAUUAAAUUUGAAGACAUAAUUAUGUUGACUAGACAAUAAAAAAAUCCUGGUUAUGAACCCGCAUUGAUAAAUUAAGUUAUAAAAAAGUAAAAAAGUUUACUAUAAAUUGAACUCACUAUCAUGAUCUAGAUUAAUAUUAUCGGAAAGGAAAUGAUAUGACUGAAGGGUGAUUGUGUGUAUUGGAUCGAUCAAAGCGGUAGCGGCCAAGCAAUGGUAUUUGACAUGUCAAUUAGGAGGUCUACACCUUGCCCUGCUUGUGAUGUUUGGGGGUCUCCACAAAGCACAAGUUGCUGACACUUUCUGAGCAAGAAAGACAGUGAAUAAACGGAACACAGAUGCAGGAAGAAAAGUGUAUGAGACCAGGUCAAGGUUUCAGGCUCAACAUGCACAAGGCAUAUGAAGGCACUCGAGAUGUUGGUUGCAUAUGGAGUAUGUUGUUGGUUUGUUGCGGUUCAGUAAUUUAUCUGUUCCCUAAUAUGAUUUUUCUCAUAUAUAUGUUAUUGGUUUGUAGCCCAUAUAAUCUUUGUAUGUUUAUGUCAUGUAAUGGAAGAUAGACUUAUGGCUACUGGUUAAAUGAUUUGCUUCAGUAUGCUCUCUUAGUUCUCUUUUGUAUGAGGAUGAUGGAAGUAAUGUGAAUGUUGGUAUUCUAAUCAUCUAGUUGUUUCGCUAAUCAGUCGUUUUGCCAAGGAGAACUUGUUUUCCAUCUGCACAUAUAAGAUGGAUAAGCAUAUUUAACUGUCUCUAUAAGAGAUAAAUCAAAAAUUGUGAUGGAAUAUGGAUAGAAAUGAGCCCUGCAAUACUGAACUGACAAAUAAGCUCCUGCAAUCAGCGAGCAAAUAGAAUGAGCUUGUCGAUGCAUAAGUGUUGACUGGAUAAGUACGAGAGUAGUUGCUUGUGUGGUAGUUUGUGUCCAACCAUGAGAUCUGAAUAAUCUGUAUAUAAAAUCUAAAUUCAGCUAUGAAAUAAAGAAAAAAAUAUAUUUUCUACCGUUUGCUUACAGUCACUUUUCUGCAAGUCUACAUCGGUGUUAUGGUGGUAUCAUGUCCAUAUGGAUCCGACAUUGCACUGUUUCGGCUAAGCGCUGUGAGCAUCACUUCCGAGCCAUUGUAAUCCUGGCUUCGGGUACCUCGGCACCUAUCCGAUGAGCCGCCUAGGAAGACCACACGCCAGAGGAGGGCCAGCCGGACCGACUUCGGUGAGUUUUGGAAAAUCAAGUACAAUACUAUUUGAAUCUAAAAUAGAAUUAUAAUUUGAACUAAAAUCACGACACUUAUUUUGAAUCAGAGGGAGGAGCAUUUAGUUAGUUUUUCGUUUUCGGAUCAACAGGCUCUCUACCCUGUUCUAUCGAUUUCAUUGAGAUGGAAUAAACCGUCACAACAGUUUUAGUCCCACUUAAAUCUAGGGAAGUGGAAAGCAGUGUGGCAUACAACAAACACUACUAUGGCAUAUUUUUCUAGCCAUAGCCCAGGGCAGAAAAACACUUGAACUAGCAUAGGAGAACAUGUGACUUUUUAUGGGAUUGGCAUCAACAAGUUGGUGAUAUCGAUGGUGCCAGGCAGCACAUCGCGGCUCACGGUAUCCAUGGCCACUACAAGUUUUUCAGCAACCUGUAAGCGCAACAGUUGUUGGUAUACGGCCCUGGAAUAGGUCAAACGCCCAAGGGAUCCCAACCCUACAGUGUUGCAGCUCAGAUGCUCUCCGGAGUGGGAAUGAGGUGGACACCGGCGGUUGGAGUACUUGAUGUCUACUAUGCAACUUUAUUCUUGUAGACACGUGUUGGGCCUUCAAGCGCGGAGUUUUGUAGGACAGUAGCAAUUUUCCCUCAAGUGGAUGACCUAAGGUUUAUCAAUCCAUGGGAGGCGUAGGAUGAAGAUAGUCUCUCUCAAGCAACCCUGCAAUCAAAUACAAGAAAUCUCUUGUGUCCCCAACACACCCAAUACAAUGGCAAAUUGUAUAGGUGCACUAGUUCGGCGAAGAGAUGGUGAUAAAAGUGUAGUAUGGAUAGUAGAUAUGAGUUUUUGUAGUGUCAACAAUAAAAAACAGCAAGGUAGUAAAUGGUAAAACGGAGCACAAGCGGUAUUGCAAUGAUGGAAAAUGAGGCCUAGGGUGCAUACUUUCACUAGUGCAAUCUCUCAACAAUGCUAAUAUAGUUGGAUCAUAUGAUUAUCCCUCAAAGUGCAAUAAAGAAUCACUCCCGAGUUCCUAUUAGCGGAGAACAAAAGAUAGAAAUUAUUUAUGGGGUACGAAACCACCUCAAAGCUAUUCUUUCCGAUCAAUCUACCCUAGAGUUCGUACUAAAAUAACACAAAGCUAUUCUUUCCGAUCAAUCUAACCAAGAGUUCGUACUAAAAUAACACCAUAUGACACACAUCAACCAACUCUAAUGUCACCUAGAUACUCCAAUGUCAUCAUAAGUAUCCGUGAGUUAAUUCUACGAUAUGCAUCAAACAACUUCAUGAUCAUAAUAUUCAAUCCACACAAAGAACUACAAGGGGGCCCCAAAGUUUCUAUCGGAAAAAAGUUAAUAAAAACGCCCCUAUGCAUAGUUUACCCCAAUAUCACCUCGGGAAUCCGCAAGUUGGGUGCCAUAACAUAUAUCAAGUGAAUCAAAAUAAUACCCCAUUGUCACCACGGGUAUUCAUAUGCAAGACAUAUAUCAUGUGUUCUCAGAUCUGAACAUUCAAUCCGACAAGACAAAACUUCAAAGGGUAAAGAUUCAAUUCAUCACAACAAGAGUAGAGAGGGGAGAAACAUCAUAUGAUCCAUCUAUGUUAACAAAGCCCAUGAUACAUCAAGAUCAUGACAUCUCAAGAUAACGAGAGAGAGAGAGAGAUUAAACACAUAGCUACUGGUACAAACCCUUAGCCCCGAGGGUGGACUACUCCCUCCUCAUCGUGGUGGCCGCCGGGAUGAUGAAGAUGGCCACCGGUGAUGAUCUCCCCCUCCGGCAGGGUGCCCGAACGGGCUCCCGAUUGGUUUUCAGUGGCUACAGAGGCGUGCGGCGGCGGAACUUCCGAUCUAGGGUCUCCGUGAGGGUUUUUGGAAUAUUUGGAAAUUUAAAGGGAAAAGAGGGGGUGCGGGAGGCCACCGAGGUGGGCACAACCCACCGGGGCGCGCUUCGGGGGCCCAGGCGCGCCCUGGUGAGUUGUUCCCCCCUCGGGGCACCCCCCAGGUGCUGCUCUGGCCCAUUGGUAGUCUUCUGGUCCAUAAAAAAUCCACAAAAAGUUUUGCGGUGUUUGGAGAACUUCCAUUUCUGCACAGAAAACAACACCACGGUAGUUCUGCUGAAAACAGAGUCAGUUCGGGUUAGUUCCAUGCAAAUCAUACCACAACCAUAUAAAAUUAUUGUAAAUAUGGCAUGAAAACUUCAUAAAUUAUAGAUACGUUGGAGACGUCAGCAUCCCCAAGCUUAAUUCCUACUCGUCCUCGAGUAGGUAAAUGAUAAAAGAAAUAAUUUUUGAAGUGUGAAUGCUAGCAAAGCGUACAAGUUUGAUCAAUGACAAUUUCAAUCACUUUUCCUAGCAUCAUAACAGCAAUUCUUUCUUAUAAAACUUCUCACGACCAAGUAGCAACCAAUUCACAUGUUAAGGUUCAAACAAUGAAUUUGCUUGAAACUCAACAACCUACAAUCUCAGUCACCAAGCAAUUGCAAUUCAACUUAUUCAACAGAGUCUAAGAGCUCCACAUACUCAACCAUCAUAUAGUAUUCUAUGAUUGCUAACACUCACCGCAUACGCAUGAGCAAAACGUUUCAACCGGACAUAUAGAAAGAUAGGGGCUUGUAAUUUUGCCUCCCAACUUAUUCACCUCAAGGAUGAUGUCAACAAUAAUAACUCAUGCUACCCAUAUCCAACUGGAUAUUUGUGCCUAGAUUUUUCCUCACCACAUGAUGCUUGCAAAAAGAGAAAAAUAAAAAGGAAUAGAGAGAAGAACUUUGACUCUUUGCAUAAAAGUAAAUACAUUAACACUACUGGAAUCAGGAAUUUUGCCGUCAGCCGGUUCUUUGCCAUCAGCUAGCUGAGCUUGAAGAAAACUGACGGCAAAGAAGCAGCUGACGGCAUAGAAGCUUUGCCGUCUGCUAGCGUACGACAAAGAGGGAGGGUGGCCCACUAGUGAGAACCACCUAACGGCCACUUUCUUUGUCGUCUGCUAGCUGACGGCAAAGCUUCUUUGCCGUCCGUGAGCAGACGCAAAUAAAGUGGCAACCUAACGGCCGUUUCCUCCCGGCCCCACCCCACUAGCUAUGCUAUUUGCCGUUUGCUAGCGGACGGCAAAGAAAUUCAACCUAACUAAAAAACGAUCGGCCCGCGCCCCACCCCGCUCUCUCUCCCUCACCUCACCGGCGCCACCCCGACGCCCCUGACCCCCCACCGGCCCACGCCCCCGACCCUCUAUCGCCCCGACGCCCGCNNNNNNNNNNNNNNNNNNNNNNNNNNNNNNNNNNNNNNNNNNNNNNNNNNNNNNNNNNNNNNNNNNNNNNNNNNNNNNNNNNNNNNNNNNNNNNNNNNNNNNNNNNNNNNNNNNNNNNNNNNNNNNNNNNNNNNNNNNNNNNNNNNNNNNNNNNNNNNNNNNNNNNNNNNNNNNNNNNNNNNNNNNNNNNNNNNNNNNNNNNNNNNNNNNNNNNNNNNNNNNNNNNNNNNNNNNNNNNNNNNNNNNNNNNNNNNNNNNNNNNNNNNNNNNNNNNNNNNNNNNNNNNNNNNNNNNNNNNNNNNNNNNNNNNNNNNNNNNNNNNNNNNNNNNNNNNNNNNNNNNNNNCCGCCCUCGCCGCCCCGCCACCUCGACAACCAGGCGCCCCGCCAUCCCGACGCCCUAGCCGCCCCAACACCCCGCCGCCCCGGUGCCCCGUGCUACGUCUUGAGCUUGCGUUGGUUUUCCUUGAAGAGGAAAGGGUGAUGCAGCAAUAGUAGCGUAAGUAUUUCCCUCAGUUUUUGAGAACCAAGGUAUCAAUCCUGUAGGAGGCUCCUCAAAAGUCCCACGCACCUACACAAACAAACAAGAAAUCGCAACCAACGCAAUAAAGGGGUUGUCAAUCCCUUCACGGCCACUUGCGAAAGUGAGAUCUGAUAGAGAUACUAUGAUAAGAUAAAUAUAUUUUUGGUAUUUUAUAAUAUAGAUUGGAAAAGUAAAGAUGCAAAUAAAAGUAGAUGGCAAACUUAUAUGAUAAAAGAUAAACCCGGGGGUCAUAGGUUUCACUAGUGGCUUCUCUCAAGAUAGCAUAAGUAUUACGGUGGGUGAACAAAUUACUGUCGAGCAAUUGAUAGAAAAGCGAAUAAUUAUGAGAUUAUCUAGGCAUGAUCAUGUAUAUAGGCAUCACGUCCGUGACAAGUAGACCGACUCCUGCCUGCAUCUACUACUAUUACUCCACACAUCGACCGCUAUCCAGCAUGCAUCUAGAGUAUUAAGUUCAUAAAGAACAGAGUAACGCAUUAAGAAAGAUGACAUGAUGUAGAGGGAUAAACUCAUGCAAUAUGAUAUAAACCCCAUCUUUUUAUCCUCGAUGGCAACAAUACAAUACGUGCCUUGCUGCCCCUGCUGUCACUGGGAAAGGACACCGCAAGAUUGAACCCAAAGCUAAGCACUUCUCCCAUUGCAAGAAAGAUCAAUCUAGUAGGCCAAACCAAACUGAUAAUUCGAAGAGACUUGCAAAGAUAACUUAAUCACACAUAAAAGAAUUCAGAGGAGAUUCAAAUAUUUCUCAUAGAUAAACUUGAUCAUAAACUCACAAUUCAUCGGAUCUCGACAAACACACCGCAAAAAGAGUUACAUCGAAUAGAUCUCCAAGAAGAUCGAGGAGAACUUUGUAUUGAGAUUCAAAGAGAGAGAAGAAGCCAUCUAGCUAAUAACUAUGGACCCGAAGGUCUGUGGUAAACUACUCACAACUCAUCGGAAGGGCUAUGGUGUUGAUGUAGAAGCCCUCUAUGCUUCCCCCUCCGGCGGAGCGCCGGCGAAGGCUCCAAGAUGGGAUCUCGCAGAUACAGAAGGUUAUGGCGGUGGAAAUAGUUUUUCGUGGGCGCUUCUGAUGUUUUCGGGGUACAUGGGUAAAGAUAGGAGGAAGAAGUAGGUCGGUGGAUGCCCGAGGGGCCCAUGAGAUAGGGGGGCGCGCCCAGUAGGGGGGCGCGCCCUCCACCCUCGUGGCCGCCUCGAUUGUUUCUUUACUUCCACUCCAAGUCCUCUGGGUCACGUUUGUUCCAAAAAGAUCACUCCCGGAGGUUUCAUUCCGUUUGGACUCCGUUUGAUAUUCCUUUUCUUCGAAAUACUGAAAUAGGCAAAAAAACAGCAAUACGGGCUGAGCCUCCGGUCAGUAGGUUAGUCCCAAAAAUGAUAUAAAAGUGUAAAGUAAAGCCCAUAAACAUCCAAAACAAGUAAUAUAAUAGCAUGGAACAAUCAAAAAUUAUAGAUACGUUGGAGACGUAUCAGGCAUCCCCAAGCUUAAUUCCUGCUCGUCCUCGAGUAGGUAAAUGAUAAAAACAGAAUUUUUUGAUGUGGAAUGCUACCUAGCAUAAUUCUCAAUGUAAUUUUCUUUAUUGUGGCAUGAUUAUUCAGAUCCAAAUGAUUCAAGAUAAAAGCUUAUAAUACAUAAAAACAAUAAUACUUCGAAGCAUACUAGCAAAUAAUCAUAUCUUAUCAAAAUAGCAUAGCCAAAGAAAGCUCAUCCCUACAAAAUCAUAUAGUUAGGCCAUGCUUCAUUUUCAUUACACAAAAUACUCCCAUCAUGCACAACCCCGAUGACGAGCCGAGCAAUUGGUUCAUACUUUUUAACGCGCUUCAGCUUUUUUCAACUCUUACGCAAUACAUGAGCGCAAGCCAUGGACAUAGCACUAUGGUGGUAUAUGGUGGUGGUUGUGAAAACAAAAAGGGAGAAGAUAGUCUCGCAUCAACUAGGCGUAUCAACGGGCUAUGGAGAUGCCCAUCAAUAGAUAUCAAUGUGAGUGAGUAGGGAUUGCCAUGCAACGGAUGCACUAGAGCUAUAAAUGUAUGAAAGCUCAACAAGAGAAACUAAGUGGGUGUGCAUCCAACUCGCUUGCUCACGAAGACCUAGGGCAUUUUGAGGAAGCCCAUCAUUGGAAUAUACAAGCCAAGUUCUAUAAUGAAAAAUUCCCACUAGUAUAUGAAAGUGACAUCAUAGGAGACUCUCUAUCAUGAAGAUCAUGGUGCUACUUUGAAGCACAAGUGUGGAAAAGAGAUAGUAGCAUUGUCCCUUCUCUCUUUUUCUCUCAUUUUUUUAUAUUUCUUUUCCCUUUUUUUCUUUCUUUUUCUUUUUUUUCUUUUUUUUUGGUGGACUUCCUUGGCCUCUUUUAUUUUAUAAAGUCCGAAGUCUCAUCCCGACUUGUGGGGGAAUCAUAGUCUUCAUCAUCCUUUCCUCACUUGGGACAAUGCUCUAAUAAUGAAGAUCAUCACACUUUUAUUGAUUUACAACUCAAGAAUUACAACUCAACUCUUAGAACAAAAUAUGACUCUAUAUGAAUGCCUCCGGCGGUGUACCGGGAUAUGCAAUGAAUCAAGAGUGACAUGUAUGAAAAAUUAUGAAGGUGGCCUUGCCACGAAUACGAUGUCAACUACAUGACCAUGCAAAGAGCAAUAUGACAAUGAUGGAGCGUGUCAUAAUAAACGGAACGGUGGAAAGUUGCAUGGCAAUAUAUCUCGGAAUGGCUAUGGAAAUGCCAUAAUAGGUAGGUAUGGUGGCUGUUUUGAGGAAGGUAAAUAAUGGGUGCAAGAGACCGGCGAAAGUUGCGCGGCAUAAUAGAGGCUAGCAAAGUGGAAGGGUAAGUGUGCGUAUAUCCAUGGACUCACAUUAGUCAUAAAGAACUCAUAUACUUAUUGCAAAAGUUUACUUAGCCCUCAAAGCAAAGUACUACUACGCAUGCCCCUAGAGGGAUAGAUUGGUAGGAAAAGACCAUCGCUCGUCCCCGACUGCCACUCAUAAGAAAGACAAUCAAAAGAGCACCUCAUGCAACAAAUUUGUCACACAACUUUUACCAUACGUGCAUGCUACGGGACUUGCCAACUUCAACACAAGUAUUUCUCAAUUUCAUAAUUACCCAACUAGCAUGACUCUAGCAUUACUACCUUUAUAUCUCAAAACAAUUAUCAAGCAUCAAAUUGAUCCUAGUGUUAAAUGCACUUUUUAUGAUAGUUUUUAUUAUACUCAACUUGGAUGCUCAUCAUUCUAGGACCAAAUUUAUAACCAUAGCAAAUACCAUGCUGUUAUAAAAGACUCUCAAAAUAAUAUAAGUGAAGCAUGAGAGAUCAACAAUUUCUUCAAAAUUAAGCCACCGCCGUGCUCUAAAAAAUAUAAGUGAAGCACUAGAGCAAAAACUAUCUAACUCAAAAGAUAUAAGUGAAGCACAUAGAGUGUUCUAAUAAAUUCUAAUCAUGUGGGUUUCUCCCAAAAGGUGUGUACAGCAAGGAUGAUUGUGGUGAUCUAAAAAGCAAAGACUAAUAUCAUACAAGACGCUCCAAGCAAAACACAUAUCAUGUGGCGAAUAAAAAUAUAGCUCCAAGUAAAGUUACCGAUAAACGAAGACGAAAGAGGGGAUGCCUUCCCGGGGCAUCCCCAAGCUUAGGCUUUUGGCUAUUCUUGAAUAUCUUGGGGUGCCAUGGUCAUCCCCAAGCUUAGGCUCUUGCCACUCCUUAUUCCAUAGUCCAUCAAAUCUUUACCCAAAACUUGAAAACUUCACAACACAAAACUCAACAGAAAUCUCGUAAGCUCCGUUAGCGAAAGAAAACAAAACACCACUUCAAGGUACUGUAAUGAACUCAUUCUUUAUUUAUAUUGGUGUUAAACCUACUGUAUUCCAACUUCUCUAUGGUUUAUAAACUAUUUUACUAGCCAUAGAUUCAUCAAAAUAAGCAAACAACACACGAAAAACAGAAUCUGCCAAAAACAGAACAGUCUGUAGUAAUCUGUAACUAAUGCAAACUUCUGGAACUCCAAAAAUUCUACCAAAAUAGGAAGUCCUGGGCAAUUUGUCUAUUGAUCUACAGAAAAAAGAAUCAACGCAAAAGCACGUUUCUGUGAUUUACUAAAAUUAUUUUCGAGCGCGCAAAGUUUCUGUUUUUCAGCAGAAUCAAAUUAAUUAUCACCAUAGGUUAUCCUAUAGGUUCUACUUGGCACAAACACUAAUUAAAACAUGAAAACACAUCUAAACAGAAGGUAGAUGAUAAAUUUAUUACUAAACAGAAGCAAAAACAAAAAAAAUAAAAAAAAUUGGGUUGCCUCCCAACUAGCGCUAUCAUUUAACGCCCCUAGCUAGGCAUAAAAGCGAGGAUAGAUCUAAGUAGUGCCAUCUUUGGCACUUAUCUUUUUAAUGGAGUUAUGCUCAGGUCCGGGAGGCUCCUUGCGUUUCCCUUCAUGCUCGGAGAUCUUUUGAUCUAAGGCAUCUAACCGUUUAUUGCAAAGUGUAAUCAAAUUAUUCAUGCGGUUGAUAUUCCCACCAAUAUUCUUAAGUGGUUCAACAAAUUUUUGCAAUUCACAUAAUUUAUCAAAAAUUUGGGUUCCUUCAUGAGAGAUGGGUGAUCCUUUUUGUAGGGGAAGUACUCCUACUAUCCCCUCUAUGAUUUCAUAAGCGGAACUAGGAUCAAUUUCAAUAAAAACCCCUUUUGCGGCAAAAUCAAGGAGUUGUCUAUGGGGUAAGGUUAACCCAACAUAAAAAUAGCGAAGUAAAAUCUUGAAAUCUCCUUCUAAGAUUUUCCUACCAAGCAUCUUUUAAAUUUUCUCCUUGUCUUUGCUUGAAGUGAAGAACUUCCAAGUCGGGAGACGAAGGGAUAAAGACCGAACUAGCCAUAACGACGAACACACAAGCAAACAAGCAAACAAAAGGCAAGCGAACGAGAGAGGAGAUUGGGAAAGAGAGGGCGAAUAAAACGGCAAGGGUGAAGUGGGGUGAUACGUCUCCGUCGUAUCUAUAAUUUUUGAUUGUUCCAUGCCAAUAUUAUUCAACUUUCAUAUACUUUUGGCAACUUUUUAUACUAUUUUUGGGACUAACAUAUUGAUCCAGUGCCCAGUGCCAGUUCCUGUUUGUUGCAUGUUUUAUGUUUCGCAGAAACCCCAUAUCAAACGGAGUCCAAACGGGACGGAGAAUUAUUUUGGAAUAUUUAUGAUUUUUGGGAAGUAAAAUCAACGCGAGACGGUGCCCGAGGGGGCCAGGAGAUAGGGGGCGCGCCCCAGGGAGCCAGGCACGCCCUGGACUCUCCUGGGCCCCCCGUAAGGCGGUUGAUGCUCUUCUUUUGCCGCAAGAAAGCUAAUUUUAUGAGAAAAAUCUGGGCGAAAGAUUCACCCCAAUCGGAGUUACGGAUAUCCGGAUAUAAAAGAAACGGUGAAGGGGCAGAAUCUGGGAACGCAGAAACAGAGAGAUAGAUCCAAUCUCGGAGGGGCUCUCGCCCCUCCCACGCCAUGGGAGCCAAGGACCAGAGGGGAAACCCUUCUCCCAUCUAGGGAGAAGGUCAAGGAAGAAGAAGAAGAAGAAGGGGGGCUCUCUUCCCCUCGCUUCCGGUGGCGCCGGAACGCCGCCGGGGGCCGUCAUCAUCACCGCGAUCUUCACCAACACCUCCGCCAUCUUCACCAAGAUCUCCAUCACCUUCCCCCAUCUAUAUUCAGCGGUCCACUCUCCCGCAACCCGCUGUACCCUCUACUUGAACAUGGUGCUUUAUGCUUCAUAUUAUUUUCCAAUGAUGUGUUGCCAUCCUAUGAUGUCUGAGUAGAUUUUCGCUGUCCUACCGGUGAUUGAUGAAUUGCUAUGAUUGGUUUAAUUUGCUUGUGGUUAUGUUGCUGUCCUAUUGUGCCCUCCGUGUCGCGCAAGCAUGAGGGAUUCCCGCUGUAGGGUGUUGCAAUACGUUUAUGAUUCACUUAUAGUGGGUUGCUUGAGUGACAGAAGCAUAAACCCGAGUAAGGGGAUUGUUGCGUAUGGGAUAAAAGGGGACUUAAUACUUUAAUGCUAUGGUUGGGUUUUACCUUAAUGAAUCUUUAGUAGUUGCGGGCGCUUGCUAGAGUUCCAAUCAUAAGUGCAUAUGAUCCAAGUAGAGAAAGUAUGUUAGCUUAUGCCUCUCCCACAUAAAACUUGCUAUCGGUCUAGUAACGUAGUCAAUUGCUUAGGGACAAUUACGCAACUACUACCACCACUUUUCCACACUCGCUAUAUUUACUUUAUUGCAUCUUUAUCUAAACAGCCCCUACUUUUUAUUUACGUGUUCUUUAUUAUCUUGCAAACCUAUUCUAUCACACCUACAAAGUACCUCUAGUUUCAUACUUGUUCUAGGUAAAGCGAACACUAAGCGUGCGUAGAGUCGUAUCAGUGGCAGAUAGGGCUUGAGAGGAUAUUUGUUCUACCUUUAGCUCCUCGUUGGGUUCGACACUCUUGCUUAUCGAAAGAGGCUACAACUAUCCCGUAUACUUGCGGGUCAUCAAGACCUUUUUCUGGCGCCGUUGCCGGGGAGUCAUAGCGUGGGGUGAAUAUUCUCGUGUGUGUGCUUGUUUGCUUUAUCACUAAGUAAUUUUUAUUUGAUGUUCUUAGUUGUUUUCUAUCUUUAGUUAUGGGUAGGAAACGAAAAAUACCAAAAAAAUUAGUUGUACCUACUACACCAAUGGUUGAAGAACCACUCAAAAUCUAUGACACUACUGAAGCUUUUUACUUGGAUCAUCUUCGAUCCCUUUGUGCUCGUGUUGAAACCCCAACUAGCUUAGUUGAGGGCAAAUCUUUAGAUGAGCAUUCUUGUUAUGUGCGACACCGUAUAUCUAAAAAAGGGAAACUAUUAUGGGAUCAAAUUCAACGUUUGCAAUGCUAUGCUUGGAAUUUAUGUGAAAUAUAUGAUGUUACUUGUUGUUCUGAAAACCCUAAGAAACACCUUCCCUACCAAUGUGAGUUUAUUGAUAAUGGAAUCGUAUCUUCGUAUGCUAAGGGUGUUUAUAAUUACUAUGAUAAUCAACAAAUUGAAGAUUUUGUUGCUUUUAAGGGUGCUUAUGAAAUUGCUUCUUUGAUUGGAAAGUAUGAUGCUACUCUCUACAAAUCUGAAAAUUUUGCCAUACUUGAAUAUUGUUAUGAUAAUUAUGCUUCUAAUGCCUAUGUUAAACUAUAUAUUGAGAAAUUCUCCGCUGUCCAAGAAGAGACUAAUAUUUUGCAGGAAGCUAUGGAAGAAGAAAUUGAUGAAACUGUGAGCUCAUUGGAUGAAAAAGAUGAUGAGGAGAGCGAAGAACAAAAGGAGGAAGAGCGGAUUGAUCACCCGUGCCCACCUUCUAAUGAGAGUAACUCUUCAACUCAUACAUUGUUUAAUUCCCCUUCGUGCUUACCGAAGGAUGAUUGCUAUGAUGAUUGUUAUGAUCUCGUUGAUUAUCUUGAAAUAUCCCUUUUUGAUGAUGCUUGCUAUGCUUGUGGCCAAGAUGCCAAUAUGAAUUAUGCUUAUGGAGAUGAACUUGCUAUAGUUCCUUAUGUUAAACAUGAAAUUGUUGCUAUUGCACCCACGCAUGAUAGUCCUAUUAUCUUUUUGAAUUCUCCCAACUACACUAUUAUCGGAGAAGUUUGUGCUUACUAAGGAUUAUAUUGAUGGGUUGCCUUUUACCGUUGCACAUGAUGAUUUUGAUGAAUAUAACAUGCAUGUGCUUGCUGCUCCUACUUGCAAUUAUUAUGAGAGAGGAACUACAUCUCCACCUCUUUAUGUUUCCAAUACGAUAAAAUUGCAAGAAUCUGCUUAUACUAUGCAUUGGCCUUUACUUGGUGUGCAUGAAUUGUUCUCUUAUGACAUGCCGAUGCAUAGGAAGAGAGUUAGACUUCGUCAUUGCUUGAUAUAUGUUGCUUUGUGCUCACUACUAAAUGCCAAAUCAUUGUUAAUUAAAAUUGGCUUUGAUAUACCUUGGGAUCCGGGUGGGUCCAUUACUUGAGCACUAUAUGCCUAGCUUAAUGGCUUUAAAGAAAGCGCUGCCAGGGAGACAACCCGGAAGUUUUAGAGAGUCAUUUAUUUCUGUUGAGUGCUUUUAUAUAGUUUAAAAACAAAAAAAUAAAUAGGGGAACCCAAAACUUUUCAGAAAGGAAAGUGAAAGUGAGAAAGACAAGCAUUGUUGAAGUGGGAGAGCUCCUUGAACUUUGUUCAUGCUCACGGAAACUUUGUGAAUCUUGAUUACAGAAACUUUUCAACAAAAAUAAUUUAUCCCCUUGUAUAAUGCCAUUGUAUUAUAAAAAUAAUGUGGUAAGGUUUGCCUUUAGGAUGUUUACAAUGCUUGUUGGUUUGUACGGUGCAAGACAGAAACUUUGGCUGUAGUGCGCGAUUUUACAUUUUUACCUGGAACGUCAAUUGAUUCUGAUUCCUUUUGCACUGUCUUUCUGUACAAAUUGUUUAUUGUUCCUAAUUUUGGUAGAAUUUUUGGGGUAACAGAAGUAUGGUGAAUGUUCAGAUUGCUACAGACUGUUCUGUUUUUGACAGAUUCUGUUUUUGAUGCAUAGUUUGCUUGUUUUGAUGAAUCUAUCAAUUUAUAUCAGUGGAUUAAGCCAUGGAAAAGCUAUAUUACAGUAGAUACAAUGCAAAAAUAAAAUAUGAAUUGGUUUGCAACAGUACCUAGAGUAGUGAUUUGCUUUAUUAUACUAACGGAUCUUACCGAGUUUUCUAUUGAAGUUUUGUGUGGAUGAAGUGUCUAAUCGAGGAGGUCUCGAUAUGAGAAAAAGGAAGAGAGGCAAGAGCUCAAGCUUGGGGAUGCCCGAGGCACCCCAAGUAAAUAUUCAAGGAGACUCAAGCGUCUAAGCUUGGGGAUGCCCCGGAAGGCAUCCCCUCUUUCUUCAACAAGUAUCGGUAUGUUUUCGAAUUCGUUUCGUUCAUGCAUUAUGUGCAAGUCUUGGAGCAUCUUUUGCACUUAGUUUUCACUUUUCUUUUAUGCACCAUGCUGGUAUGAGAUAGUCCUUGGUUGAUUUAUAGAAUGCUCAUUGCACUUCACUUAAAUCUUUUGAGUAUGGCUUUAUAGAAUGCUUCAUGUGCUUCACUUAUAUCAUUUGAAGUUUGGAUUUCCAGUUUCUCUUCACAUAGGAAACCACCAUUUGUAGAAUGCUCUUUUGCUUCACUUAUAAUUGUUAGAGCAUGGGCAUAUCUUUUGUAGAAAGAAUUAAACUCUCUUGCUUCACUUAUAUCUAUUUAGAGAGAUGACAGGAAUUGGUCAUUCACAUGGUUAGUCAUAAAAUCCUACAUAAAACUUGUAGAUCACUGAAUAUGAUAUGUUUGAUUCCUUGCAAUAGUUUUGCGAUAUAAAGGUGGUGAUAUUAGAGUCGUGCUAGUUGAUUAAUUGUGAAAUUUAGAAAUACUUGUGUUGAGGUUUGCAAGUCCCGUAGCAUGCACAUAUGGUGAACCGUUAUGUAACGAAGUCGGAGCAUGAGGUGUUCUUUCAUUGCUUUCCUUAUGAGUGGCGGUCGGGGACGAGUGAUGGUCUUUUCCUACCAAUCUAUCCCCCUAGGGGCAUGCGUAGUAGUACUUUGCUUCGAGGGCUAAUAAACUUUUGCAAUAAGUAUGUGAGUUCUUUAUGACUAAUGUGAGUCCAUGGAUUACACGCACACCCAACCUUCCACAAUUUUCUAGCCUCUUCGGUACCGUGCAUUGCCCUUUCUCACCUCGAGAGUUGGUGCAAACUUCGCCGGUGCAUCCAAACCCCGUGAUACGAUACGCUCUAUCACACAUAAGCCUCAUUAUAUCUUCCUCAAAACAGCCACCAUACCUACCUAUCAUGGCAUUUCCAUAGCCAGUCCGAGAUAUAUUGCCAUGCAACUUUCAUCAUCAUCAUAUACAUGACUUGAGCAUUUAUUGUCAUAUUGCUUUGCAUGAUCGUAAGAUAGCUAGCAUGAUGUUUUCAUGGCUUGUCCGUUUUUUGAUGUCAUUGCUACGCUAGAUCAUUGCACAUCCCGGUACACCGCCGGAGGCAUUCAUAUAGAGUCAUAUCUUUGUUCUAGACAUUGAGUUGUAAUAUUGAGUUGUAAGUAAAUAAAAGUGUGAUGAUCAUCAUUAUUAGAGCAUUGCCCCAGUGAGGAAAGGAUGAUGGAGACUAUGAUUCCCCCACAAGUCGGGAUGAGACUCCGGACUUUAAAAAUAAAUAAAAGAGGCCAAAGAAGCCCAAAUAAAAAAAAGAGGCCAAAGAAGCCCACCAAAAAAAAGAAAAAUAAAAAUAAAAAAAGAUAAAAAAAUGAGAGAAAAAGAGAGAAGGGGCAAUGUUACUAUCCUUUUACCACACUUGUGCUUCAGAGUAGCACCAUGUUCUUCAUAGAUAGAGUCUCCUAUGCUUUCACUUUCAUAUACUAGUGGAAAUUUUCAUUAUAGAACUUGGCUUGUAUAUUCCGAUGAUGGGCUUCCUCAAAUGCCCAAGGUCUUCAUGAGCAAGCAAGUCGGAUGCACACCCACUUAGUUUCCAGUUUGAGCUUUCAUACACUUAUAGCUCUAGUGCAUCCGUUGCAUGGCAAUCCCUACUCACUCACAUUGAUAUCUAUCGAUGGGCAUCCCCAUAGCCCGUUGAUACGCCUAGUUGAUGUGAGACUAUCUUUUACUUUUUGUCUUCACAACCACCACCAUAUACCACCAUAGUGCUAUGUCCAUGGCUUGCGCUCAUGUAUUGCGUAAGAGUUGAAAAGGCUGAAGCGCGUUAAAAAGUAUGAACCAAUUGCUCGGCUUGUCAUCGGGGUUGUGCAUUAUUUGAAUGCUUUGUGUGGUGAAGAUGGAGCAUAGCCAGACUAUAUGAUUUUGUAGGGAUAAGCUUUCUUUGGCUAUGUUAUUUCGAUAAGACAUAAUUGCUUGGUUGGUAUGCUUGAAGUAUUAUUGUUUUUAUGUCAAAUGAUAGACUAUUGCCUUGAAUCACUCGUGUCUUAAUAUUCAUGCCAUGAUUAGACAUAUGAUCAAGAUUAUGCUAGGUAGCAUUCCACAUCGAAAAUUAUUUUUUUAUCAUUUAGCUACUCGAGGACGAGCAGGAAUUAAGCUUGGGGAUGCUGAUACGUCUCCGUCGUAUCUAUAAUUUUUGAUUGUCCCAUGCCAAUAUUAUUCAACUUUCAUAUACUUUUGGCAACUUUUUAUACUAUUUUUGGGACUAACAUAUUGAUCCAGUGCCCAGUGCCAGUUCCUGUUUGUUGCAUGUUUUAUGUUUCGCAGAAACCCCAUAUCAAACGGAGUCCAAACGGGACGGAGAAUUAUUUUUGGAAUAUUUAUGAUUUUUGGGAAGUAAAAUCAAUGCGAGACGGUGCCCGAGGGGGCCAGGAGAUAGGGGGCGCGCCCCAGGGAGGCAGGCACGCCCUGGACUCUCCUGGGGCCCCCGUAAGGCGGUUGACGCUCUUCUUUUGCCGCAAGAAAGCUAAUUUUAUGAGAAAAAUCUGGGCGAAAGAUUCACCCCAAUCGGAGUUACGGAUCUCCGGAUAUAAAAGAAACGGUGAAGGGGCAGAAUCUGGGAACGCAGAAACAGAGAGAUAGAUCCAAUCUCGGAGGGGCUCUCGCCCCUCCCACGCCAUGGGAGCCAAGGACCAGAGGGGAAACCCUUCUCCCAUCUAGGGAGAAGGUCAAGGAAGAAGAAGAAGAAGAAGGGGGGCUCUCUCCCCCUCGCUUCCGGUGGCGCCGGAACGCCGCCGGGGGCCAUCAUCAUCACCGCGAUCUUCACCAACACCUCCGCCAUCUUCACCAACAUCUCCAUCACCUUCCCCCAUCUAUAUUCAGCGGUCCACUCUCCCGCAACCCGCUGUACCCUCUACUUGAACAUGGUGCUUUAUGCUUCAUAUUAUUUUCCAAUGAUGUGUUGCCAUCCUAUGAUGUCUGAGUAGAUUUUCGCUGUCCUACCGGUGAUUGAUGAAUUGCUAUGAUUGGUUUAAUUUGCUUGUGGUUAUGUUGCUGUCCUAUUGUGCCCUCCGUGUCGCACAAGCGUGAGGGAUUCCCGCUAUAGGGUGUUGCAAUACGUUUAUGAUUCGCUUAUAGUGGGUUGCUUGAGUGACAGAAGCAUAAACCCGAGUAAGGGGAUUGUUGCGUAUGGGAUAAAAGGGGACUUGAUACUUUAAUGCUAUGGUUGGGUUUUACCUUAAUGAAUCUUUACUAGUUGCGGACGCUUGCUAGAGUUGCAAUCAUAAGUGCAUAUGAUCCAAGUAGAGAAAGUAUGUUAGCUUAUGCCUCUCCCACAUAAAACUUGCUAUCGGUCUAGUAACGUAGUCAAUUGCUUAGGGACAAUUACGCAACUCCUACCACCACUUUUCCACAUUCGCUAUAUUUACUUUAUUGCAUCUUUAUCUAAACAGCCCCUACUUUUUAUUUACGUGUUCUUUAUUAUCUUGCAAACCUAUUCUAUCACACCUACAAAGUACCUCUAGUUUCAUACUUGUUCUAGGUAAAGCGAACACUAAGCGUGCGUAGAGUCGUAUCAGUGGCAGAUAGGGCUUGAGAGGAUAUUUGUUCUACCUUUAGCUCCUCAUUGGGUUCGACACUCUUACUUAUCGAAAGAGGCUACAACUAUCCCGUAUACUUGCGGGUCAUCAUGGGGGAGAGGAAAACGAGAGGCAAAUGGCAAAUAAUGUAAAUGCGAGGGAGAUGAGUUUGUGAUGGGUACUUGGUAUGUCUUGACUUGAGCGAAUACCUCCCCGGCAACGGCGCCAGAAAUCGCACGUUGGCGGGAGGUCAAAUUUUGACUUGACUUGGUGGAAGCCUCCCCGGCAACGGCGCCAGAAAUCCUUCUUGCUACGUCUUGAGCUUGUGUUGGUUUUCCUUGAAGAGGAAAGGGUGAUGCAGCAAUAGUAGCGUAAGUAUUUCCCUCAGUUUUUGAGAACCAAGGUAUCAAUCCAGUAGGAGGCUCCUCAAAAGUCACACGCACCUACACAAACAAACAAGAACUCGCAACCAACGCAAUAAAGAGGUUGUCAAUCCCUUCACGGCCACUUGCGAAAGUGAGAUCUGAUGGAGAUAAUAUGAUAAGAUAAAUAUAUUUUUGGUAUUUUAUAAUAUAGAUUGGAAAAGUAAAGAUGCAAAUAAAAGUAGAUGGCAAACUUAUAUGAUAAAAGAUAGACCCAGGGGCCAUAAGUUUCACUAGUGGCUUCUCUCAAGAUAGCAUAAGUAUUACGGUGGGUGAACAAAUUACUGUCGAGCAAUUGAUAGAAAAGCGAAAAAUUAUGAGAUUAUCUAGGCAUGAUCAUGUAUAUAGGCAUCACGUCCGUGACAUGUAGACCGACUCCUACCUACAUCUACUACUAUUACUCCACACAUCGACCGCUAUCCAGCAUGCAUCUAGAGUAUUAAGUUCAUAAAGAACAGAGUAAUGCAUUAAGAAAGAUGACAUGAUGUAGAGGGAUAAACUCAUGCAAUAUGAUAUAAAACCCAUCUUUUUAUCCUCGAUGGCAACAAUACAAUACAUGCCUUGCUGCCCCUGCUGUCACUGGGAAAGGACACCGCAAGAUUGAACCCAAAGCUAAGCACUUCUCCCAUUGCAAGAAAGAUCAAUCUAGUAGGCCAAACCAAACUGAUAAUUCGAAGAGACUUGCAAAGAUAACUUAAUCACACAUAAAAUAAUUCAGAGGAGAUUCAAAUAUUUCUCGUAGAUAAACUUGAUCAUAAACUCACAAUUCAUCGGAUCUCGACAAACACACCGCAAAAAGAGUUACAUCGAAUAGAUCUCCAAGAAGAUCGAGGAGAACUUUGUAUUGAGAUUCAAAGAGAGAGAAGAAGCCAUCUAGCUAAUAACUAUGGACCCGAAGGUCUGUGGUAAACUACUCACAACUCAUCGGAAGGGCUAUGGUGUUGAUGUAGAAGCCCUCCAUGGUCAGUUCCCCCUCCGGCGGAGCGCCGGCGAAGGCUCCAAGAUGGGAUCUCGCGGAUACAGAAGGUUACGGCGGUGGAAAUAGUUUUUCGUGGGCGCUUCUGAUGUUUUCGGGGUACAUGGGUAUAUAUAGGAGGAAGAAGUAGGGCGGUGGACGCCCGAGGGGCCCACGAGAUAGGGGGCGCGCCCAGUAGGGGGGGCGCCCUCCACCCUCGUGGCCGCCUCGAUUGUUUCUUGACUUCCACUCCAAGUCCUCUGGAUCACGUUUGUUCCAAAAAGAUCGCUCCCGAAGGUUUCAUUCCGUUUGGACUCCGUUUGAUAUUCCUUUUCUUCGAAAUACUGAAAUAGGCAAAAAAAGAGCAAUACGGGCUAGGCCUCCGGUUAGUAGGUUAGUCCCAAAAAUGAUAUAAAAGUGUAAAGUAAAGCCCAUAAACAUCCAAAACAAGUACUAUAAUAGCAUGGAACAGUAAAAAAUUAUAGAUACGUUGGAGACGUAUCACCCCGCCGACCCACUCCGGUGAGCUCCCCCCUGUUUUUUCUUUUUUUCUACUGCUGGUAAUUAGGUUAGUUAGUAUUGUUAGUUUCUUUUUUUCUACUGCUACUAAUUAGGUUAGUUAGUACUGUUAGUUAGGUUAGUUUGAUUUUCUAGGUUAGUACUACUAAUUAGGUUAGUUAGUAUUGUUAGUUAGGUUAGUGUCAUUCCUCUCAUGUCUUCUUUUGUCAGAUUUUGUUUUCUGUAGUAAUUUAAGUUCUAUUUUGUUGACUUGUUUGUUUGAGUUUGUGUUUCUGUUUGUCUGGUGAUGAAAAACCUAUUAAUCAUACCAUCUUUAGCGACUGAUUGGUCGUUGUGCGCCCAUGAUGUCAUUCUGCAAUUCAGAGGACAAAUUGAACAUCUUAGCGUAAUUUUUCUGAGUACUUCUGAACUUAUGCUGUGAAAAUCUGCAAUUCUGAUGUCGACAUUGGCUAUGCCGUAAUUUUGGAGACUGAAGUUUAUGGCGAAAUGUUAAUCGGGCUAGAAUUUUUCAAAUGGGCUAUCUUUUUGGUGGAUCUUGAGUUUCUUACUGCUACUUGUUUGAUCAUAAGCAUAAUCCUAUUUGCCUAGAAAGCAUUGCCUGACGGCUCAACCAUUUGUUAUGAAACUCUUUAAAUAUUUUUAUUUGAACUCAGGAAUCUGUGUAACGUUUCUGGUUGAUUUUCUUUCCUAAUUGGAGAUUGUUGUCUAUGGAUCCCGGUGAUGACUUGUGAUGUUAAAAAGUAGUGGCCUGAUUCAUACAUUGAUGAGAUCUAUAUUAUCACUCUGAGUGAUCUGUCCGACAACAUAUCCAACUUUUUUUAUGUUUGUGUUUUUUGGUGAUAUUUCCGUUAUCUGGACACAAAUGUUCAUAAAUUGUUUAUUUUCUUUGAUCUUUGUUGUUAAUUUUUUGUUUAAAAUAUUUCUCUAUGAAGAGAGUACAAGCAGAUCUUUGCUGUUAUCUGGACACUUUUGCUUUAAUAUUUAGACUAGGUUAGUUAGGUUAGUUUCUAGGUUAGUUAGGUUAAUUAGUUUGUAGGUUAGUUAGGUUAGUUUGUAGGUUAGUUAGGUUAAUUCUGUUAACUAGUUCUAGUUUUAGUUUUACUAAUUACUACUCCUAGAAAACAACCAUGUAAAUGAUUAGGAUUAGGAUGCAUAUGCAUCCCUUUUCUUUUGUUUCUUGAAAAUCAGAAAAUAAAAAGAAAAGGCAGGUUUAGUCAUCAUUUGUCAACUAGUUGGCUAAUGGUUUCUAGAAUUAUUUAACCAUGGGCAUGGAUAGGUAGCAACUAGGAAAGGUAGAAUUUUGCAUAAAGGGUUUUUGAUGGAGUGUUUAUUUGACCAAUGAGCUUCCCUAAAUUUUCUCAAAUAUUUUAGAAACACUAAAAUAAUUUUAACCUAUUAAAGACCAUUUCUGGCCUUAAGAAAAAGCGUUUAAUUAGUUAGUUAGUUAUUUUUUAGGUUAAUUACUUAGUUAGUUAGUUAAUUUUUUUAGGUGUUGUUUUCACCCACCGGAGUGCUCCAUUUCAGGUGGACCCGUCUGACCUAGACCCGUGUCGGACUCCGGUCCACGAGCCUCGGGUCGACGAGCCUCUUGUCGCCGAGCCUCGGGUCGACGAGCCUCUGGUCGCCGAGCCUCGGGUCCCAGUGUCUUCCUCCCAGGAGACUCGGGUCCCAGAGUCUUCCUCCUAGGAGACUCGGGUCCCAGAGUCUUCGUCCCACAUGACUCCGGAGACUAGCGGCCAUGCUGAUGGUGUCGAGGAGACCUUAUCUGAGGAUAGCUACAGCGAGGGCGAGCUGGUUGAGGAGGGUAAGAAGGUCUACCAGCGUGGUGGUACUAAGCUACCGUCCGUGCCGGCAACCCGCGACUAGAGGUGGUUGAUUCAGCCUAAUGGGGAGAAGUAAGAGCAUUUACUCUUUUCUAACCUUUUGCCUUCAUGUUUGUUCAAAUUAAUAUCUAAUGUGUUGGCCUUGUCAUACUGCAGGGGUUGGAAACACGCAGAUGGUAUCCGCAGGCCCAACCAGGUCCUUGGUACUCUUUGUCGGCACCACUUCCCGGGGUGGGUCACGUUGCCCGGUGAGGGUGAGCUUCCACAGCUAGCACUGGCCUGGGAGUUGUACGAGGCUGCCCCGGCCCUGCCGGGGGAGAUGGUCGACGGUGUCGUGUGCGAGACGGUGGCCGACAUUGUCAAACGGCGGUUUUGGGUAAUUUCUCCUUUACAGAAUUAAAAAUCAAUAGUACCUAGUGAUUGUACUAAUGAUCAGUGUUGUCUUGUUUGAUUGCAGACCUUCUACAGGUGUAUUGAGGAACACGAGGCGGACGCGGCUAUGGUUCUCGAAGCCGAAUGCAAGCGCCUACUUCAGAACACACGGCAUGAGGCUCGGGUGCAGGCUGCCCUAGACUACUACGCCUCGACUAACAUCAGGAGGCAGAAGAAGAAGUGCCGCGUCAAGAAUCUGAGUAAGGACAAGUACAUGAAGGUAAUUACCUAUUCUUAAGGCCUUGUACUAGUUUCCUUGAUUUGAUUCGUAGGCGUAGCGCUGAAAUUUCUCUUUGUCUAACUUAGGUGCCCCCGAGAUGGUGUGCGGAUAAGAUGGACUGUUGGGAGAGGUUGGUGGAUGAGUGGUGCUCUCCCCAAUGGCUAGCCGUCCACAACAAGGCCAGGGACAAGCGUGCCCAUAUGCAAGGUGUGCCGCACUAUCAAGGGAGCUCCAACCUGUUUGAGUACGGGGAUCACUGGGUAUGUGGUUCGAGCCCUUAACUUUUCAUGCAAUUUCAUUCUUCAUGCUAGCUUCAGCCCUUUAAUUACUAAUUUACCAUGUUCCUCUCUUUCAGGCGCGACACAACAAGAAGGAGGUGUCGCCACUGCACGACCUCUAUGCCCUGGCCCAUAGUGCCCCGUUCAAGAAGGCCAAGGCAUUCUCGGAGAAUGACCUCGAUCAUCCAGAGAGCUUCACCAACAUCUUCUCCCACGACAAGUUUGUGAGGUACAAAGACUGGGGGAAGAAGAUGAAAUGUGAGGACUUCAACCCGAGCCAGAGUCCUUUUGAUCCUGAGCUCGUGAUGCUAUCUGGUGAUGAGAGGAGACAUGGCUCGGUAGCCAUUGGGGAUGGACUGAUUUGUUGUCCUAGAAGUCUCCCGGAGAUCAAGAAGCGCCAGAUGAGGUCUCUUCCCGAGAUGAGGCCUCGACCACGGCCAAUGGAGCUCGCUAUCGAGGCUAGGGCCCAGGAGCUUGUGGCGGAGGCAACCAGGCAGGCGGUGGAGAGGGUGAGGGAGAUGGAGGAGAGGACGGCUAAUCUGUUGGAGGCGGAGAGGAACCGGAACGACGCGGGUCACCGGGCCCUAUACGAGAUCCUCAUGGUAAGUUUCUAGCCAAAUCAUGCACGUAAUGUUCGUUUCAUUACUAACUAAUAUGACUGACUCGUGCAAACAAAAUGUGCAGUCCGUGUGCGAGAAAACUGGCCAGACCCCUCCGCCGAUGCCCUAGAUUGCUAUAGCUGACACGGUGAGUUUCAUUUGAAUGGUCAUUAGUUACUAGUAUUCACAUUUCAGUUGCAUCAUGCUAACUAAACAUUGCAAAUGAUCUUUCGUGCAGCACGCCUCCCAAAAAGGAUGGACGAUCCUUCUCCGUCUCGCGGUGGGCGCAACCCCGGCCGGUCCUUCACCUCCCGGAUUAUGGUAAGUUUUCCCAAGUGUUUUGCUUAACAAAUUCUUUGUUUGCUAGAAAAUGGCAUAACAACCUAGGAUAGCUCAAUAAUGAUCUAUGGCUAGCUUAGCUAGUUCAUUUAUGACAUAAUUAGCUCACUUAGGUAAAAAAAUGGCAUAACAACCUAGGAUAGCUCAAUAAUGAUCUAUAAUUAGCUUAGGUACUCAUUUAUGACAUAAUUAGCGCACUUAGGUAAAAAUGGCAUAAUAACCUUGGUUUAGCUCCAAAGUGACAUGUACUUAGCUUAUUUUCCUCAAAAAUGACAUAAUAACCUUACUUAGCUCCGAACUGACAUACUUUACCUAGGAUAGCUAUAAAAUGACAUAUACUUAGCCUUUUUCCUCCUAAAUCACUUAAUAUGCUUAGUUAGCUGAAAAAUGUCAUUAUUAUCUAGGAUAGCUAAAUAAUGAUCUAAACUUAGCUUACCUAGUUCAUUAAUGACAUAAUUAGCUUACUUAGGUAAAAAAAUGGCAUAAUAACCAUGGUUUAGCUCCAAACUAUCAUAUAAUUAGUUUAUUUUCAUCCAAAAUGACAAAAUAACCUUACCUAGCUCCAAAAUGACCGAUUUUAACUAGGAUAGCUCUAAAAUGACCUACACUUACCAUUUUGUUCUACAAAAUGAAUACAUAUGCUUAGUUAGCUCAAAAAUGGCAUAACUACCUAGGUUAGCUCCAAAAUGACCUACUAACCUAGCUUAGCUCUAAAAUGACCUACACACUUAGCAUUUUACCUACCUUAGCUAAAAAAUGGCAUUUUUACCUACCUUAGUUAGAAGAAGAAGAAGAAGGAAGAAGAAGAAUAAUAAAUCUUCUUAUUAUUCUUCUUCUUCUUCUUCUUCUUUUUCUUCUAGCUAGUCUUCUUCUUCUUCUAACUUUCAUCUUUCCUAAUUUCCGGAUUUUCUUGAGAUGAGGAAGCUAGCAUUGAUGGAAACUUGUUGCAAACUUUUACUUGUGCUUGUGCUUUCUUUUUAUUUAUGGAAACUUGUUGCAAACUUGUUGGAUAUGUAUGUAUGGAAAUGUUGUUGGAAACUUGUAUAUGUUCAUGUUGUUGGAAACUUGUAUAUGUUGUUGGAAACUUAUUGUUGGUAUGAUUGUUGAAAUUAUUUUGAAAUGUGUGUGUAUAUAUAUGUGUGUGUGUGUGUGUGUGUGAAAUUCUGUCAAAUUGAAUGAAUUUAGGAAAAACAGGGGCUAUAUAGCCACUUUGCCGUCUGCUAGCUGACAGCAAAGGUCUUUGCCGUCCGCUAGCAGACGGCAAAGCUGCCACGUGGCAGCUACCUGUGCAACCUGGGGUGUAGUGGGCUGGCCUAUUUGGCAGAUUUGUCAUCAGCUAGCAGACGACAAAGGCCUUUGCAUCUUUGCCGUCAGCUGGCUGACGGCAACGAUGCAAAGGCCUUUGCCGUUUGCCAGCUGACAGCAAAGCACGCCGUUAACCACUUAACGGACCUGAACUGCCACGUGUGUCGUCCAGGCUCUUUGCCGUCUAUCAGAAGACGGCAAAGCCCUUUGCAUCUUUGUCGUCAGCCAGCAGACGGCAAAGAGGCCUUUGUCAUAGCCUAUUCAGUCGGACCUGUUGCCGUCUGCUGGCUGACGGCAACGGUCUUUGUCGUCUGCUGGCUGACGGCAAAGUGCUUGAUUCCUAUAGUGUAAAGUAAAAGAUAGGCCCUUCGCAGAGGGAAGCAAAGGUUGCCAUGCGCUUAUUAGUUUGUAUGCUCAACCCCUUAGUGCAAAAGAACUUCAUGUUAUAUUGCCCCUUGUGAUAGCAACCUUUAUUAUGUAGUCUGUCGCCUUUAUUCUUCGCCAUCACAAGUUCGUACAACGCUCAAUUUUCUCUUAUACAAAAUGAUCUAACACUUUUAGAAGCAUUUUUUAUUGCCUUAGUGCACCGAUGACAACUUACUUCAAGGAUCUUGCUCAAUCCAUAGGUAGGUAUGGUGGACUCUCAAAACAAGAUUUGGGUUUAAGGGUUUUUUGAUGCACAAGUAGUAUCUCUACUUGGUGCGGAAUUUUUGGCUAGCGAAGAUAGGGGGCAAGCACCACAUGUUGAAGGAUCUAUGACAAUAUAGCUUCUAUGUGAAUAUGAACAAACAUAAAUCAUUACGUUGUCUUCCUUGUCCAACGUCAACAAUUUUGGCAUAUAAUAUUUCGAUGGGGUUCACAAUCAUAAAAGAUUUCCAAGAUAGUGUAUUUGCAUGUGAAAGUUCUCUUCCUUAUAGUAAUCAUUCAUGAAUUGCUUGUAUGACCAAUAUUGUGAUUGUCAAGCUUCAAAAGAUUUCACUUUCUAAACCCAAUGUGAACUACCACUAGGCAUGAUAUGAGCAUACAAUUUCAACUUCAUGAUAUUCAAUUCAUUCAACAAUCUACUCAUAGGAUAUAAGUGAAGCAUAAGAGUAAAUGACAAGAUACUCCAAAAAGAUAUAAGUGAAGAUCAAGCGAGUAGUUAUGUAAAUGGGUAGCUUAUUGUGCAAAAAGUUUCAACAUUUUAUCACAUUCUGACUUUUCUAGGGAAUUUUGCAACAGCGGUAACCUUUCUGUUUUCAAACAGCAACAAGUAUACUUGCAAAAUAAGCAUGGCAAAGGCUAUCAUUGCCACUUUUAUUGAAAUAAAAGAUGCAAAACAUUAUUCUAAAUAACAGCAAGCAAAUCCUAACAAAAUAAAUUGACGCUCCAAGCAAAACACAUAUCAUGUGAUGAAUGAAAACAUAGCUCCAAGUGAGGUUACCGAUAAUGUUCGAGACGAAAGAGGGGAUGCCUUCUGGGGCAUCCCCAAGCUUAUUUGCUUGUAUCUUCCUUCGAUAUUAACUUGAGGUGCCUUGGGAAUCCCCAAGCUUAGGGUUUUGUCACUCCUUAUUCUAUAUCGAAAUCUCACCCAAAACUUGAAAACUUCAAUCACACAAAACUUAACGGAACUUUGUGAGAUAGGUUAGUAUGAUAAAGAGCAAACUAUUUCAUGAGGCACAAUGGUGAUAGGAGCAAUAUUACUUGGGAGAUUUACCUUUUUACCUCUACUUUUUCUUCUUUUCUUUUUCUUCUUCGCCACCUCACGUGUGGGUUUAAUCAAUUUUUUCGAGCUUCUUGUUGAAGAGAUUGAUUGGAUAGGAAGCUCCUCCUCGUUACCUGAUUCAUCAUAAUAAACACUAGGAGGGUAUUGGGAAAUAUUUUCCCUUUCAUUAGUACUCUCUUCAUACUCUAUUUGUUUUCUUGUCUUUAGAUAGUUGGCAAUAUAAGGAUUCUCAAUGCAAUUUACCGCACAAAACAUAUAAAUUUCCUCUAGAUCAAAAUCAAGAAAUCUCUUAGGGUUAUAUGGAAUAUUCUUAGUUAUACGUUUCAUUUCUUCAUAACCCAGAAGCAAACUAAGUUCAUUAUGAUGUACAAGGGAAAUCAAGUCAUCACAAUUUUUGGACAGGACUCGAUCAUGGAACAAAUUGCAUUGGAGAUUUAAAUGACCGCAUUCAUUGCAAAGUUCGCAAGGAUGGCGAAAAAAAUUAAAUGUUUCAGCACAACCAUCUAGCUUCUCUUGCAACCAUUUUGUUUCUAAAUACUUAUGCCUCUUGCAAAAUCUAUCUUCCCUUUUUUAUGUGCUUUUGCACUACCGAUUCACUCCGCAAAAAUUGACAUUCUUAUAGGAGACAUCAUUAUCAUGGCUAGUGCAAUCAUCAUUAGCAUUUUGGAUAUUCAAAGAAUUCAUACUAACAACAUUGUGAUCAUGCUCAUCAUUCAAAUAAUUUGUGCCAAACAUUUUAUUGACUUCUUCUUCUAACAAUUGAGCACAAUUUUCCGAACCAUCAGUUUCAAGAAAGACAUUAUAAAGAUGAUCAAUAAUAUGAUGCAACAUUAAUUCUAUUUUUUGUAGUUUCCUUUUAUAAACCAAACUAGUGAUAAAACAAGAAACUAAAAGAUUCAAUUGCAAUAUAUAAAGAUAUACCUUCAAGCACUCACCUCCCUGGCAACGGCGCCAGAAAAGAGUUUCAUUGACGGGAUGUGAGUGCCGCUUACCUAGCCUCCGCGGCAACUGUGACGUCCGGAUAAUUAAGCUACAGUAACACUCUACUAAUGAUGCCACGUCACCACGAUUACUGUCGUUUAUCUCGCAUUGAUUCAAACCCGAUUCAAUUCAAAUUUAAAAUAAAGUCAAAUUAUUAAUUCUUAAAGGGGUAAAUUAAAAAUGUUCAUUGGGUUACAAGUAUUCGCUAACUAAUUGUCAUGAUUAAACCAACAUUAUUUGGCUCACCAGUUAAUCCCUAGUAAUUUAUGAAGUGGUCCGACAUCAUCUUAAUGAACCAUUUAAGUUUUAAACAUGAUUUUAAACUUUUCAAAAUAACUCCAAACCUUUUGUGGCAGUGUCCAAAAUUGCAAUACAAAUUAUGAACCAAGUUUCAAUAUUUUACAAGAUCAAUUUGGUGGAUUAACUUAACACAAAACAGUAGAUAGAAAGAAAAACAGUAAACAAAAAUAAAAGAAAGUAGAAAACCUAAACUACUGGGCGCUUAGGCCCAUGUGGCUGGGGAGGCCUAGCCCAGCCGUCCUCCUCCCACCUCCUGUUCACAGGAGGGCGUGGAGGCCAUCCAUGGCGCCCCGGCCAGGUGCCGGCCAUCCACGCCUCCCCCUCGACUACAAGACCCCCUUCGCCCCUCUCCCUCGACCCCGGUCAAACCCUAGCCACUACCCCCUCCCCCCCUCGCUCUCCUCCCCGAUCUGGAGAGGCACCCGACGCGGUCGUCAUCGUCGCCGCGUCGAUCCCGCGGCCACCGACCGCCUCUCGUCUCACCGGUGUGUCCAGGAGCUCCGUCGCGUCGCGCUCGUCCUCGUCAACCACUACGUGCGCACCUGGAGGCCCCAAGACGAUGCCACGAUCAACUUCUUCACCGUCACAGCCGCCGCACCUCGCCGUCGAUCCUGCUGCUCUGGCCCUCCUCGAACCCCCUCGCGCUUGCUUGCGGAUCCCCCGGUGAGCACCAGCCCAUUCCCCAUUGUUUUCCCCUUGUUGCGUCGCGCCUAGCUACCCGUACCACCAUGGACGAAGCUCGCCUCCGCUAUUCGUGCCGCCGCAGCAGCCACUGCACGCUAAGUUCGCGCAUGUGCCGCGCGUCGAACUCCCCGAGCUCCUAGCUAGCCAACGCCACCUCCAGCGCAUCUUGCCGUGCCCGGUACGCUCGGACUCGAGCUCGCCCGAGGCCGUCGCCCGACCGUGCCCGAGCUCCUGUCGAGCUCGCGGUCGCCGCGCCCCUGCUCGCGCCCUCUACGCCCCCUGGACACGCUCACCACGCGCGCGGCCGCAACUCCCGCAAGCGCCCCGCGCCGCGCCCACCUUCCCCUGGCCUCGCCCCGGCCAGCCGCUCGCCCGCCGUGCCUGGGAGCUGCUGCCUGCUGCAUCUGCUCGCUGCCUGCUGCUACUAGUGCAGCGCUGCUACAGUAACAUUCAGUUACUGUAGCAGUAGCUAGCUUUGUACUGCUGCUGCUUACUGACUAGCCCUUUUUGCAUCAACAAAACAGAUAGCAAAUCACUUCGAAAAUAAAUAAAAAUGAUGGGAAUAGUUUGUACACUUGACCAACUCCAUUCCAUCUCACUGGAACAAGUCCAUUACGUGGAUGGAUUAAUUGCUACAAAAAUUACAAAAGUGCAUCUUCUGUUAACAGAAAAAAAACUGAAGAACAGAUUACUAACUAGGCUAGUUUGGAGCUGUAUUUGGACUAGCUAAGUGCACUGUUCAUGCCAUCAGAUGGCAUGGAUUGGUAGUACUCUUGGCGUAGAGUAAAUUAUAUAUAGGAAUCAUCCCCGUUAGAGCUAUGAAUAACGCAUUAUAGCCCUCACAAAUUGGCUAGUCAAUAAACAGAUUCUAAGACUUAGUAGAAUUUCAGAAAUUCUAGAAAACUAUUAUAACUUCGGAAAGUCGUAGAAAAAUAACCGUAGCUCGGUUGAAAAUACUUUAUACAUGAAAGUUGCUCAGAACAACGAGACGAGUACGGAUACACUGUCCAUUCGUCCACCACACGCCCCUAGUAUAGCAAACACGCAACUUUCCCCCUCUGGUCCAUCUGUCCGAAAACGUGAAACACCAGGGAUAUUUUCCCAGAUGCCCCCCCCCUUGCCGGUAUCACCUCCUACCGCGUUAGGUCACCCCUAGCACCGCUCAUUGUCAUGUCUUGCAUCGUCCUGCUUAUGUUUACACUGUAUUUAUUGUUUCUUCCCCCUCUUCUCUCUGGUAGACUACGAGACCGACGCCGCUGCUACCCAGUACAACUACGGAGUUGACGACCCCUCCUUCUUGCCAGAGCAACCAGGCGGGCCCCCCCCCUUGAUCACCAGAUAUCGCCUAUUCUUCUCUCUACUGCUUGCAUUAGAGUAGUGUAGCAUGUUACUGUUCGGUUACUCCUAUUCUGCUGCAUAGCCUGUCAUUGUUGCUACAGUUGUUACCCUUACCUGUUAUCCUAAAGCUUAGUAUAGGAUGCUAGCGUUCCAUCAGUGGCCCUACACUCUUGUCCGUCUGCCAUGCUAUACUACUGGGCCGUGAUCACUUCGGGAGGUGAUACUGUUACAUUACUUAUGAUACUGUUCGGAGAUGGGGGCUGAAGGGGCAGGUGGCUCCAUCCCGGUAGAGGUGGGCCUGGGUUCCCGACGGCCCCCGACUGUUACUUUGUGGCGGAGCGACAGGGUAGGUUGAGACCACCUAGGAGAGAGGUGGGCCUGGCCCUGGUCGGCGUCCGCGGUUACUUCAGAAUAACACGCUUAACGAGAUCUUGGUAUUUGAUCUGAGUUGGGUCGUUGACCUUAUACGCACUAACCGCCACGUGGGACAAGAUAUGGGCAACCGGCGUCGUGGUAUCAGCCGAAGCUCUUUUUGACGUCAGCAACUGAGCGGCGCGCGCCGGAUUGGAACGUAAGCCUGCUCUUGUAUUAAGGGGGCUAGUUCUGCUUCCGGCCGCCCACGCAACGUGCAGGUGUGCAAUGGGCGAUGGGCCCAGACCCCUGCGCGCAUAGGAUUUAGACCGGCGUGCUGACCUCUCUGUUGUGCCUAGGUAGGGCUGCGACGUGUUGAUCUUUCGAGACCGGGCAUGACCCAGGAAAGUGUGUCCGGCCAAAGGGGAUCUAGCGUGUCGGGUAAUGUGGUGCACCCCUGCAGGGAAGUUUAUCUAUUCGAAUAGCCGUGAUCUUCGGUAACAGGACGACUUGGAGUUGUACCUUGACCUUAGGACAACUAGAACCGGAUACUUAAUAAAACUGUGACGCCCCCGAUUUGACCGUACACUAAUCAUGCACGCAAAUGUGUACGAUCACGAUCAGGGACUCACGGGAAGAUAUCACAACACAACUCUACAACAUAAAUAAGUCAUACAAGCAUUAUAAUACAAGCCAGGGGCCUCGAGGGCUCGAAUACAAGUGCUCGAUCAUAGACGAGUCAGCGGAAGCAACAAUAUCUGAGUACAGACAUAAGUUAAACAAGUUUGCCUUAAGAAGGCUAGCACAAAAGUAGCAACGAUCGAAAAGGCAAGGCCUCCUGCCUGGGACCUCCUAACUACUCCUGGUCGUCGUCAGCGGCCUGCACGUAGUAGUAGGCACCUCCAGUGUCGUAGGUGUCAUCGUCGACGGUGGCGUCUGGCUCCUGAACUCCAACAUCUGAUUGCGACAAUCCGGUAUAGAAAGGGGAAAAGAGGGAGAAAAGCAACCGUGAGUACUCAUCCAAAGUACUCGCAAGCAAGGAGCUACACUACAUAUGCAUGGGUAUAUGUGUAAAGGGGCAUAUCAGUGGACUGAACUGCAGAAUGCCAGGAUAAGAGGGGGAAAGCUAGUCCUGUUGAAGACUACGCUUCUGGACAUCUCCAUCUUGCAGCAUAUAGAAGAGAGUAGAUUGAAGUCCUCCAAGUAGCAUCGCAUAGCAUAAUCCUACCCGGCGAUCCCCUCCUCGUCGCCCUGUUAGAGAGCGAUCACCGGGUUGUAUCUGGCACUUGGAAGGGUGUAUUUUAUUCAGUAUCCAGUUCUAGUUGUCAUAAGCUCAAGGUACAACUCCGGGUCGUCCUUUUUCCGAGGGACACGGCUAUUCGAAUAGAUAAACUUCCCUGCAGGGGUGCACCACAUAACCCAACACGCUCGAUCCCAUUUGGCCGGACACACUUUUCUGGGUCAUGCCCGGCCUCGUAAGAUCAACACGUCGCAGCCCCACCUAGGCUCAACAGAGAGGCCAGCACGCCGGUCUAAACCUAUGCGCGCAGGGGUCUGGGCCCAUCGCCCUAUGCACACCUGCACGUUGCGUACGCGGCCGGAAGCAGACCUAGCCUAGUGGCGUUCCAGUCCAAUCCGGCGCGCGCCACUCAGUCGCUGACGUCAAAAGAGCUUCGGCUGAUACCACGACGUCGGGAUACCCAUAACUACUCCCACGUAGAUGGUUAGUGCGUAUAGACCAAAUGGCCAGACUCAGAUCAAAUACCAAGAUCUCGUUAAGCGUGUUAAGUAUCCGCAAACGCCGACCAGGGCCAGGCCCACCUCUCACCUAGGCGGUCUCAACCUGCCCUGUCGCUCCGCCACAAAGAUCCACUUGCGGGUACUCCUACGAGCCGACCCGACUUUAAUCAUCACAUGUGUCAUGUAUAUAGUAUAUAAGUAUAUGCCCGUGUUCACCGCCCAGGUGAUCACGGCCCGAUAGUAUAGCACAGCAGACGGACAAGAAUGUAGGGCCACUGAUGGAAAUCUAGCAUCCUAGACUAAGCAUGUAGGAUUGCAGGUAAAGGUAACAACAGUAGUAGCAAGGAUAGGCUAUGCAUCAGAAUAGGAUAUCGAAAGUAGUAACAUGCUACACUACUCUAAUGCAAGUAGUAGAGAGUAGAGUAGGCGAUAUCUGGUGAUCAAGGGGGGGGCUUGCCUGAUUGCUCUGGCAAGUAGGAGGGGUCGUCGACUCCGUAGUCGAACUGGGCAGCAGCAGUGUCGGUCUCGUAGUCUACCGGAGAGAAGAGGGGGAAGAAAACAGUAAAUACAAUGCAAACAUAAGCAUGACGAUGCGUGACAUGACAAUGAGCGGUGCUAGGGGUGUCCUAACGCGGCAGGUGGUGGUACCGGUGAAGGGGGGGAAACAUCCGGGAGGUAUUCCCGAUGUUUCGCGUCUUCGGACAGACGGACCGGAGGGGGAAAGUUGCUAGUUCGAUAGGUUAGGGAGGUGUGGUGGAUGAAUGGACUGUGUAUUCGGAUUCGUCUCGUCGUUCUGAGCAACUUUCAUAUAGAAAACAUUUUCAUCCGAGUUACGGUUUAAAAGAUAUGAAUUUUCAAAGUUUAUUUGAAUUUCUGGAAUUAUUUAAUUUAACAGAAAAAGGGAUAUGACGUCAGCAUGACGUAGGAGUGACGUCAGCGGUCGACAGUCCGGGUUGACUGGUCAAACUGACAAGGGGGACCCACCUGUCAUAGACAGUGGGUUAACAGAGGAUUAAACUAAUUAGUUUUUGGUUAAUUAACUACUGGGCCCACCUGUCAGUGAGAGAUUAAUUAAACUAAUUAUUUUUAUUUAUAAAACAUUUUCUUUUUCUUUUCUUUUUUUAAAUUUUUGCGGCGGGGCCCGCAUGUCAGUGACUGGGCCUGCCCAGUCAGCAGUUGACUGGGUCAACCCAGUCAACUGGGGCCCGUUGGGGGCCACUGGCAGGGUCACUGGGGGUGGGCCAGGCCAGCCACGUCGGCGGCCGGCGCCGGAGUAACGCCGGCGACCGAACGCACGGCGGCGCGGCUCGGGAGGAGUACGGGUUCCGCGUACAGGGGGUCUCCGGGGGCGUGGCUGGGCGCGUUCGACGCGGCUCGACGUCGCNNNNNNNNNNNNNNNNNNNNNNNNNNNNNNNNNNNNNNNNNNNNNNNNNNNNNNNNNNNNNNNNNNNNNNNNNNNNNNNNNNNNNNNNNNNNNNNNNNNNNNNNNNNNNNNNNNNNNNNNNNNNNNNNNNNNNNNNNNNNNNNNNNNNNNNNNNNNNNNNNNNNNNNNNNNNNNNNNNNNNNNNNNNNNNNNNNNNNNNNNNNNNNNNNNNNNNNNNNNNNNNNNNNNNNNNNNNNNNNNNNNNNNNNNNNNNNNNNNNNNNNNNNNNNNNNNNNNNNNNNNNNNNNNNNNNNNNNNNNNNNNNNNNNNNNNNNNNNNNNNNNNNNNNNNNNNNNNNNNNNNNNNNNNNNNNNNNNNNNNNNNNNNNNNNNNNNNNNNNNNNNNNNNNNNNNNNNNNNNNNNNNNNNNNNNNNNNNNNNNNNNNNNNNNNNNNNNNNNNNNNNNNNNNNNNNNNNNNNNNNNNNNNNNNNNNNNNNNNNNNNNNNNNNNNNNNNNNNNNNNNNNNNNNNNNNNNNNNNNNNNNNNNNNNNNNNNNNNNNNNNNNNNNNNNNNNNNNNNNNNNNNNNNNNNNNNNNNNNNNNNNNNNNNNNNNNNNNNNNNNNNNNNNNNNNNNNNNNNNNNNNNNNNNNNNNNNNNNNNNNNNNNNNNNNNNNNNNNNNNNNNNNNNNNNNNNNNNNNNNNNNNNNNNNNNNNNNNNNNNNNNNNNNNNNNNNNNNNNNNNNNNNNNNNNNNNNNNNNNNNNNNNNNNNNNNNNNNNNNNNNNNNNNNNNNNNNNNNNNNNNNNNNNNNNNNNNNNNNNNNNNNNNNNNNNNNNNNNNNNNNNNNNNNNNNNNNNNNNNNNNNNNNNNNNNNNNNNNNNNNNNNNNNNNNNNNNNNNNNNNNNNNNNNNNNNNNNNNNNNNNNNNNNNNNNNNNNNNNNNNNNNNNNNNNNNNNNNNNNNNNNNNNNNNNNNNNNNNNNNNNNNNNNNNNNNNNNNNNNNNNNNNNNNNNNNNNNNNNNNNNNNNNNNNNNNNNNNNNNNNNNNNNNNNNNNNNNNNNNNNNNNNNNNNNNNNNNNNNNNNNNNNNNNNNNNNNNNNNNNNNNNNNNNNNNNNNNNNNNNNNNNNNNNNNNNNNNNNNNNNNNNNNNNNNNNNNNNNNNNNNNNNNNNNNNNNNNNNNNNNNNNNNNNNNNNNNNNNNNNNNNNNNNNNNNNNNNNNNNNNNNNNNNNNNNNNNNNNNNNNNNNNNNNNNNNNNNNNNNNNNNNNNNNNNNNNNNNNNNNNNNNNNNNAGGGGGUGCGGCGGGGACGGCCACUGUUCCGCCCCCGGUCGGGGGAACAGGGAAGGGGCGAGGGGGAGAGUGGGCUGGGCCGGGGCGCGGGGCGCGGGUGGCGGCCCAGCUUGGGCCGGGGUUCGGGGGUGCGGGGGUGCGGUGCAGAUGGGCCACGGGUCCAGUGGGGGGGGGCCUGCUCCCUUUUUUUUCUUUUGACUGUUUCUGUUUUCCUUUUAUUUGUUCUAUUUCCUUUUCUGUUUUAUUUCAUUUAAAGUAUUUAGGCAUUUUAUAAAAAGGUGUUUUCUCCACCACAAUUACCAGUGUAUUAUUUAGCACACACUGAACAUUUUUGUUGGAAUUUUUGAAAACUUUUAUUUUCCACUUUAAUUAUAUUUGAAUUUGAACUAGGAGUUUGAAAAGGGUGUGAUUCAAAUGUGAUCAACCCCUGUUUAGCAACAUGACUAGCUUAAUCACAGGGGGUUACUGUAGCAUGAUUCUCAGGGUGUUACAAAAAAACACCCUUCCAAGUGCCAGAUACAACCCGGUGAUCGCUCUCUCACAGGUCGACGAGGAGAGGAUCGUCGGGUAGGAUUAUGCUAUGCGAUGCUACUGGGUGAACUUACCAUCUACUCUCUUCUACAUGCUGCAAGACGGAGGUGGCCAGAAGCGUAGUCUUCGACAGGAUUAGCUAUCCCCCUCUUAUUCUGGCAUUCUGCAGUUCAGUCCACUGAUAUGGCCCUUUACACAUAUACCCAUGCAUAUGUAGUGUAGCUCCUUGCUUGCGAGUACUUUGGAUGAGUACUCGCGGUUGCUUUUCUCCCUCUUUUCCCCCUUUCCCUUCUACCUGGUUGUCGCAACCAGAUGCUGGAGCCCAGGAGCCAGACGCCACCGUCGACGACGACUCCCACUACACCAGAGGUGCCUACUACUACGUUCAGGCCGCUGACGACGACCAGGAGUAGUUUAGGAGGAUCCCAGGCAGGAGGCAUGCGCCUCUUUCGAUCUGUAUCCCAGUUUGUGCUAGCCAUCUUAUGGCAACUUGUUUAACUUAUGUCUGUACUCACAUAUUGUUGCUUCCGCUGACUCGUCUAUGAUCGAGCACUUGUAUUCGAGCCCUCGAGGCCCCUGGCUUGUAUUAUGAUGCUUGUAUGACUUAUUUUAUUUUAGAGUUGUGUUGUGAUAUCUUCCCGUGAGUCCCUGAUCUUGAUCGUACACGUUUGCAUGUAUGAUUAGUGUAUGAUUGAAUCGGGGGCAUCACAGCAACGGCGCUAGAAAAGAGCUUGAUGUCUACUACGCAACUUUAUUCUUGUAGACACGUGUUGGGCCUCCAAGCGCAGAGUUUUGUAGGACAGUAGCAAUUUUCCCUCAAGUGGAUGACCUAAGGUUUAUCAAUCCGUGGAGGCGUAGGAUGAAGAUAGUCUCUCUCAAGCAACCCUGCAAUCAAAUACAAGAAAUCUCUUGUGUCCCCGACACACCCAAUACAAUGGCAAAUUGUACAGGUGCACUAGUUCGACGAAGAGAUGGUGAUAAAAGUGUAGUAUGGAUAGUAGAUAUGAGUUUUUGUAGUGCGAACAAUGAAAAACAGCAAGGUAGUAAAUGGUAAAACGGAGCACAAACGGUAUUGCAAUGAUGGAAAAUGAGGCCUAGGGUGCAUACUUUCACUAGUGCAAUCUCUCAACAAUGCUAACAUAGUUGGAUCAUAUGAUUAUCCCUCAAAGUGCAAUAAAGAAUCACUCCCGAGUUCCUAUUAGUGGAGAACAAAAGAUAGAAAUUGUUUGUAGGGUACGAAACCACCUCAAAGCUAUUCUUUCCGAUCAAUCUAUCCUAGAGUUCAUACUAAAAUAACACAAAGCUAUUCUUUCCGAUCAAUCUAACCAAGAGUUCGUACUAAAAUAACACCAUAUGAUACACAUCAACCAACUCUAAUGUCACCUAGAUACUCCAAUGUCACCAUAAGUAUCCAUGAGUUAAUUCUACGAUAUGCAUCAAACAACUUCAUGAUCAUAAUAUUCAAUCCACACAAAGAACUACAAGGGGACCCCAAAGUUUCUAUCAGAGAAAGGAUAAUAAAAACAUGCAUCAACCUCUAUGCAUAGGUUACCCAAAUAUCACCUCGGGAAUCCGCAAGUUGAGUGCCAUAACAUAUAUCAAGUGAAUCAAAAUAAUACCCCAUUGUCACCACGGGUAUUCAUAUGCAAGACAUAUAUCAUGUGUUCUCAGAUCUGAACAUUCAAUCCGACAAGACAAAACUUCAAAGGGUAAAGAUUCAAUUCAUCACAACAAGAGUAGAGAGGGGAGAAACAUCAUAUGAUCCAUCUAUGUUAACAAAGCCCAUGAUACAUCAAGAUCGUGACAUCUCAAGAUCACGAGAGAGAGAGAGAGAUCAAACUCAUAGCUACUGGUACAAACCCUCAGCCUCGAGGGUGGACUACUCCCUCCUCAUCGUGGUGGCCGCCGGGAUGAUGAAGAUGGCCGCCGGUAAUGAUCUCCCCCUUCGGCAGGGUGCCGGAACGGGCUCCCGAUUGGUUUUCGGUCGCUACAGAGGCGUGCGGUGGCGGAACUUCCGAUCUAGGGUCUCCGUGAGGGUUUUUGGAAUAUUUGAGAAUUUAUAGGGCGAAGAGGGGGUGCGGGAGGCCACCGAGGUGGGCACAACCCACCGGGGCACGCCUGGGGGGCCCAGGCACGCCCUGGUGGGCUGUGCCCCCCCUCGGGGCACCCCCCCCCCCCAGGUGCUGCUCUGGCCCAUUGGUAGUCUUCUGGUCCAUAAAAAAUCCACAAAAAGUUUCGCGGUGUUUGGAGAACUUUCAUUUCUGCACAAAAAACAACACCACGGUAGUUCUGCUGAAAACAGCGUCAAUCCGGGUUAGUUUCCAUGCAAAUCAUACCAAAACCAUAUAAAAUUAUUUUAAACAUGGCAUGAAUACUUCAUAAAUUAUAGAUACGUUGGAGACGAAUCAGUGCCCACCAGUGGCAGAGGCAACGCGGAAAGGUGUCCAUGUCCCGGUGGUGUUUGUAGCAUCGUCGGAGGGCGUGUGGAGGUUUGCCUCCGGCGGAUCUCGCGCGAUUUGGUUGGCGUUUGUCUUCGGUGGAUCCACGUGGAUCUUGUCUUCGUUCAUCUGUCUUCGUGUGUCUACAGGUUGGGUCCUUCUAAUCCACGCUUCUCUUCAUCGACAGCGGAUGUUGUUCUGCUGCGCGGGUCCUACUGGGCCUUAGCAUGACGACUUCCCGACUGUCUACUACAACAAGGUUUUUCCGACUCCGGUGAGGGAGGGGGAAGACGGUGGCACGCCUUCGACUCGCUCCGGUGCCAGUAGUCGUCGCUAGGUGGUCUGUGGACCUAGAUGUAUUUUUUACUUCUAGUGUUCUUCGUACUACCUUGACAGGUGAUGAAUAGAUCGGAAGUUAUUCUCGCAAAAAAAACAUUUUGUUAGAAUGUAAAUUUUAAAAAAUGAUUAUUAUUCUCUUUUUUUAAAUGCAUGGAUUUUAGUUAAGAUAAUAAAAAUAAAAAUAAAACGCACACAAAAGCAGUCACGAAAAAUAAAAAAGGGAAAACAUGCAAAAAAAACAGGAUUAAGAAAUAAGCAAAAAACAGGAAAGAAAAGGAUUGAAAGGAAAAAAAGGAAAUACAAAAUAUAAGAAGGAAGCAAAAAGUCUAAAAUUGGGAAAAAAGGAAGGAAACGGAAACAAAAAAAAGUACUCCCUCCAUUCACAAAUAUAAGAUGUUCUAUAUUUUUUUCUGAUUUGGUUGUAUAUGAAAGCAUUUUAGUGUGUUUCUUCACUCAUUUUCAUCUGUUUCUAGUCUAUAUUAAAAUAUUCAAAACAUCUUACAGUUGUGAACGGUGAAGUAACAAACAAGCGGACUACAAAACCAUGUACUCAUGUACUCUCUCUGUCCGGAAAUACUUAUCAUUGAAAUGGAUGUAUCUAGAUGUAUUUUAGUUCUAGAUACAUCCAUUUUCAUUCAUUUUGAUGACAAGUAUUUCCGGACGGAUGGAGUAGAUAACUAACAAAAGAAAAAGAAAGGCAGAAACCAACUUAUGCUAGUGCAGUGCAGUGCAGGAUAGAAACGGAAGCGUGCAUGGGUCUACGCGUGGGAUUAUGCUAGUGCAGGAGAGAAACGGAAGUGUGCAUGACCCGAAUUCCCAAAAAAAUUUGGUUCUGUUAGGUUAUUUUUGUUUUUUUCUAUUUUCUUUCUUAACAUUUUUGAAUUAUGCGGAUAUUUUUAAAACAAAUGAAUAUCUUUUAAGUACUUCAUAAUUACAUAACAUUUUUUGGAAAAUUGAUUAAUUUUUUGAUGCUUUGAACACAUUUUGAAUGAAAUGGACUUUUAAUGUCAUAUUUUGCAAGAAAAUGUUCAUAAUGUUUUUAGACAAACAAAUCUUUGUAUCUAAAAAAUUUCAUGUAUCUUUAAAAAAAAUCAUGAUUUGAAAAAAAUGUUUCACAUGUUUAAAAAAGUUGUUCAUAUAUUCCUAAAACUAUUCAUGUUUCUUUCAACAAAUUGUUUAUAAAAAACUCUUGUAUGCAAGAAAAUAUUCAUGUAUCUCAAAAAAAAGUUUAUGGUUUGGAAAAAAAUCGCACAUGUUGGAUAUAAGCGUUCAUGUAUCGCUAAAAAUUUAUUUGUAUAUUUACCUAAUAAAAUAGAGAAAGAAGAGAAAAUAACAAAGCAGUGACGCACGCCAUGCGCUGUCGCUGCGGCAUGCAUCAAGGUUGCUGGGCCGGCUAAUGUGCCGAGCUGUAGGCUGGCUGUACAUCCGAGAUUCACGAGGCGACGUAUUGACGUGCCCCUCUUCACAGUAACAAAGACCGAUAGUUCCUCUGAUGUCAUCUAGUUGUUCUAUGCCAGUGCAAGGAAAAUUACUUACAUGAAUACAAUAGUCCUUUUUUCCUUGUUUGUGAGGAGUGAAUGCACAAAACUUGGCACUCAAUUAAAAAUAACAUUUAAAGAGUUCAUUUAAGGAGUUCGCAUUCAAUUUUUGUCCAUCUCAGUAGACCAAGAUAACGUUGGAAUUGGACUACUCAGAUUAUAUACUAAAAAAUGACUGAGCAACUCUUCAGGCCCGUCAAUAAGGCCUUGUACUUCAGGCCCGUCAGGUAUAUAUCACUCAAAUAACACAACAAAACAGGACCGGCAAUCGUACAAAGGUCUCUAUUGUUCCUUCAGAUAUGUUAUGUAAAUGCUUCCUCGCAUAUAUGCUUAUCUACCAGCAACCAUGUAGAAUAACAUCAUCAUAUAGUCCCUCCAUUGCAUAAUGUAGUGCAUAUUAGGUUUUUCAAAAAGUCAAAGAUACCAAUAUCUAAAAUACUAAAUAAAUAAAAUAUCAAAGUGCACUUCAUGAUGAACCUGAUGAUACUAAUUUUGUACUGUGGAUGUUGAUUAUUUUUCCUUAAAUUUGGUCAAACAUAGAAAUGUUUGACUUUUUAGGAAACAAAAUAUACACUACAUUUUGGAAUGAAUGGAAGACAUGAACAUAGAGAUCGUUCCAAGCAAACAACGUGUACUUGUCCAUCAAUCAAUACUAUUACAUAUAUAGCAUUGUCCUAGGAACAAGACACGAUUAUCCAAGAAAAACAUGAUAAUUCAAAUACUUCAUAUAGCACAUCACAAUCUCAAAACUCUCAAUAAGGAUUGUAGUAGUAGUAGUUCUGGGUUGACAUCCCAUCAGCAUGCGAAUUUUGUCCACCAGGCUGCAAACAAGGGGAAAUGUAUGCUCAGUUCAAUUCUAAUAUGUGGAAAUUAAAACAGUCCUACAAACUUCUGUUCUUGUUUUGCAAGACUGUAUAUACUUGAAUGUUGUCUAUGUUACUGACAGAGAAACAAAUAUGCGGUGGUGCAGCAAGACUGAGGAUGCAUAUUGAUUAUAGUACCUCGGGCAUUGAGUUGUUUUCCAAUAAUAGGAGCUGAUCAAAACGUUCAUCCAGAGAUGCAGAGGAAUGAAUCGAUGGCUGGCUGUAACUAGUCUGUUCAAACUCAAGUUGUUAUGUUGCGAAAUGCAGCUGUAAGCAGAUUAUCAACAAGCAAAAAAUUUAACUUGGCAAAUAAUGUACGCUAACUUAGCUACUAACAAGUGUUCUGUAUAACGAAAACAACAUGUGAGAAGUCACACAAUAUCGGCUGCCAGAUCCAAUUUUGUAGUAUUGCAAUUAAUCAAGAAUGGGGUCGAGAUGUAUCACUUAUCAACACUUAUAGUUAUCUUGUAAUAAUGGUAUCAUGACUUAUCAAUACUUAUCGUAAUCUUAUAAUGGUAUAUACACGAUAACCAACGAGAUCAGAACACGGAAGGAUCAUCUAUGUCUUAUUUGUUUCCCGAUGUAAAUUACUUGUCGGUUUAAAAAGUGAUGUUCUCAACAGUAAGGAAGCAUACCGUGGCAUCCUGGAUUGGAGCAGGCAUGCUACCAUUCCAAAACGAAGUAUUGCAAUAGUCGCUCUGGAUUGACAUGGCAUCUACAUGAGAAUAUUGUCCACCAAACUGCAACAAAGGUCAGUUCAAUUCAAUAUACGUGGCAACUAAAACAUGGUAAUCAUCGGACAAUUCUCGCCAUGAUCCUACAAAAAAAAUCUUAUUCUGCUAGGAUAGUAACAAUAUCAAGAUACUAGAAAUGGUCCACAUAAUUUAAUUAAUUCACACAGAUAUCUAACAGUAACACUUUAAGACUCUAUCCGUGAAUUAAGAUCGGGCAAUUAUGUCUAGCAAGUUAACUAUAUAUAGUUAGGACUUGAGUGAAGAAUAAUAAUUCUGAACCGCUUGUGUGUAUAUUGAAUUAUUGAUGCUUAGCUAGGUAGUAAAGGACUGCACCAAGUUGAGAUUUGAUAUGACAAAAUAGAAGCACUUUCAGCCUCGAUCAAUGAAUCAAGUUUGGAACUAGCAAGUUAAUGAUAGGUAAGAGUGGAGUAAGCUUAUAUAUAUAUUGAUGUCUAGCUAUGUAUUGAAGGACAGCACCAAGUUGAGAAUUAUUUAAAAAGCAGAUAUCACCUCCACUAUGAUUGCAAGGGAAAUUACAGAUGAAGUGUGCAUACCAUAUUAAUUUCCGAUGGCAUAUAAGACAUGUCGUCAUUCAUAGGAUAAGUGUUGGAUGGUAUAUCCAUCUGUAUUCCGGCAGGAGGAUUGUAUCCAGAACUCUGCGAAUAAAUGACAAUGGCCAGGAUUACUCCAUAAUUUUUUAAUACAUAUAGUCACUAUCAUACAGUAAAAAAAAUUGAAGGGUCAAACAUGGUAUACAAUUACAUACUACACAGUAUCAGUCGCCUCUACAGGAAAAGGGCAUGUAUUGCUGGUUUUGUCAUCAAGUAAGACCUGUGAAGGAGUAUUGAUUGUGCAUGGGGUUGAGAUAUAUCACCUCACAAUAUUUUCAGUAAUCUUAUAACAUGGUAUAAAUAGAAUGCAUGAUAUCUCAUAAUGCGUAGGCUAGUCGUGCGUGUUAAUAACCUAAUACUCCAUUCUCAUUUGAAUUGCAUAUUGUUUACCAGAGUACACCCAGAACAUUGAAGGACUUCAUGCCUUACUUUUGAACAUGAUUUCCCAAUUAAGCAUUCCCAUCUCUGUAUUUGCAGAGCUCUUGAUACCACCCUCUUGCCAAACAAGGUAAUAAAGUAAGGCAUGAAGCUGAACUAUGUUACUUAGAGGUGUACAUAGGUACAUACGUAUCUAGGCAAACAAACAUGUUACACAUGAAACUGAACUAUAGGCAGGAGUAACUUGUAUUGGUAUGAAUGGACCAGUUACCUCAGUGUUAUUAAUGGUGUAAUCAACAUGUAGACCAUUCAUAAAUCCAGCAUGGGAGUCUGCAAACAAGGUAAGCAUGUAAACUUUUUGCCAGUAUAAGAAAGACCAUGCAAUUGAAUAUGCCACAUCGCAGAGAACUGGAGCUAUUACAUAUAGCCCAGAUUAAAUUCCACAAUAUAGGAGGCAGAGAUAAACAAUAUAGCUAUCUUAUGACUGGUCAAAAAGGGCAUUCAGAGAAAAAAUAACACCCUCUUAUGGAUACCUACCUAAAUAUUGUCCCUCAUGUUGCACUGCCAUCUGGUCCACUUGAUUUGCUCCCAGAAUGUCUCUCUGAAUCGAAAAGAGUGAGCUCAACAUUGAGUAAGCAAUCUAGUUCAGUGUUAUUUCAAAAUAAAUUAAAAUCAUAGUACUAUCUAAGAUGGCAUGUACUAAUGCUACUGCUGCUAACACUCUCUUCCCGUCCUAACUACCAUUUCUGGACCCAUGUACACAUGACAAGUAAAGAGUAAAAGCCUUGGUUCUUAGCAUGAUUGGUAAGUGCACUCCCACCUCUCUUACCCCAUUACCAUUAAGAAAAUUCAUGAAAAUAUGUGUCACCAGAAUUUACUUACUAAAACUUCUUUUACCUUUACAAGAGAUAAUACGUACUCCCUCUGUAAAGAAAUAUAAGAGCACUUAGAUCACUACUUUAGUGAUCCUUAUAUUUCUUUACGGAGGGAGUACCGCUUAGAGGUGUGCGUAGUUACAUAUAUAUAUGUAGGAAAACAUGCAGGUUACACAUGAAAUUGAACUCCAGGCAGGAAUAACUAGUAAUGGUCAGAAAGUACAGUUACCUCACUGUUAGAAGCUAGUAGAUUACUGGUGUAAUCAACCUGUGGACUAUUCAUGAAUCCGGUACCAGCAACACAGGGGCCUGCAAGAAAGGUAGUAAAGCAUGUAAUUUUUUGCCAUUGUAAGACCAUACAACUUAAUAGGCCACAGCACAGAGAAUUGGAGCUAUUUUAUAUAGCCCAGAUUAAAUUCCACAAUAUAGGAGGACAGAGAAAAACAACAUGGUGGCUAUCUUUAUCACUGAUAAACCACUUAGUUCAUCAUUCUGCAGUGAUUGGUUUAUGUUCAACCAUGUAUUCAGAUAGUAGAUGUCUCUACUACACAUCUAGAGUUCAAGGCGUAUGCUUUUUACCUUAUUAACUUUAUCAAAUAUUACAUACAAUGUGGCUAAAAUCAACCCCUGGGGUUUUAAAUGUGUCUGCAGAAAUUAAAUGUACCAGUACACGAAAUUCUAAGUAAAAAAUCAAAGAACAGAUCGAUGUACAUAUUUUUCAUACUUUGCAAGAAUUAGGCAUGGACGUAUAUAAAAUGAGGGCUUUCUAUGUACCUAGAUCAAAGAUCAUUACUGUUCCAAUAAAAUACAGUUGGCGCCUAUUGCCUAUUUGAGUUAAAUUGUUGAAGGAUGACCAUCAAGUACGAUACUAUGCUACUCCCUCCGUCUCGGUGAAUAAGUCAUUCGCGUAGUUCUAGGUCGAUGAUUUAACUAUCUAAAUAUGUAUUAUAUGUGACAAAAAAUAUAUAUUUAGAAACUACAUCCAUGUAGAAAUCUAGUGAUAUACUUAUCAUGACAUAUAACACAUAUUUAAUUCCUCAAAUCGAUGACCUAGAACUACGCGGAUGACUUAUUCACCUAGACGGAGGAAGUAUAUAAAUACCUUGAUUGAUUGGUGGCACAUGUUGCACCACCUGCAGGUUUGCCUGAUAUCUCCCUGGAAAGCAUCCCUGGAAGAAGAGAGUAGAUUCAGUACUGAGUAUGCAAGAAAUCUAGUUCAACCGUGUUCAAAAAUAAAUUAAGAUCAUAUUGAAGUUGUUGAGAUCAUUUAUUUUAUAGCGAAACUGUGGAAUCAAUCUCACUUUUUUUCUGCUAUGUGGCUCGCAGAAUGAAUAGUACAGGUGAACACCACUUACAGAUUUGACAAAAAAUAAAUGGGAUUGUCGUCAUUGAAAUGCAUCAAUGCAGUUUGGUUUAGGUUUAAUUAAAUGAGCCGACAGAAAUGCAUGGUGAGGUAAAUUCCUUGAGGUCUACAAUCCAUAUGAAUGAACAGAGAAUGUUUCACCUUCUGGGUAUAAUCCUUCAAAUCCCGAACGGUAUGGUGAUAGUCCGUAGGAUGCAGCACGCAGAUGGCGACUCGGGGGCGGGGCUAGAAAUUAAAAUCAAACAUGAACAUCAGCACAUAGUAUAUACUUUCAUAAGUAGAUGGCUGAAUCACCGAUUUACUGCACACAAAAUGCAUCGCCCGACCGGAUCCUCGGCGCCUCCAUGCCUGCCGUUUGCUCCCUUGCUACGCAACUAGAGUUCGGGGUGGGCGGAGCUAUCUCUGGGUUGGGUUGGGUUGGGUUGGCCGCCGCCGCCGGCGGCCCUAGGUCGACGAGCUAGGAGGGAGGGAGUUUACUGACUGGGCUGUGCAAGGCUGGGCUCGUGAGGAAACGAGACGGGGAAGAGUUUGUUUACUGCCUGGCUGGGCUUGAUUGGUGUCUCUAAAGGCUGGGCUGGGCUGGGCUGGGCUCGUUAAGAAACAGCCCAUGAGGGACGUUCGAGAGCACCACCGACAUUCAAAUGUGUCUAUCCCUAAAAAAAAGGUCUAAAAUGUGUCUAGAAACACCGACAUUCAAAUUUUGUCACUUUCCUCAAGAAAAAACACUCUCGGGGGGAAAAGUCAAAUUAGGCUAAACUUUGUCCAAUGUUAGUCUUGUUUCGAAUAUCUCAUCACGGAAAGUAGGAAGGUUCAAAUCGUCGGUUUGGUUAUAUGUUUAUGCGCGCGGAUCCUAAUAUGGAGACCAAAAAUGUCUAUUGAGGGUAUAUGGAGACCAAAAUUAACGCGCAGGUGCUACCGGUGGUGUUGGGAAAUGAGGCAAGGAAGUGGCACUGUUGAGCAUGCGAUAGUAUAGCAAAAAAGAGAGGGCAUGUACAGCAAGCCAGGCAGUACUACAUGUGUAUGCACUCGUUCUGGCCGGGCAAGCCAAGCUGAUCAGUAAACGAAAAAAGCUAAGCUAGCUUGCUUGCAAGAUCUAUCAACAAAAAAGGUAGCUAGCUAGUUUGCAUGCAAUAUUCUGCACCAAAUGAUAUGCAUGCAUGCAGUUCGAAUUGAAGCAGUUAAGUGUGGGCAAGCAGUUGUGUAUGUAUGUAUGUAUGUACGUAUGUAUGUAUGUAUGUAUGUAUGUAUGUACCGAGAGGUUCAUCGGGAGGUGAAACUCGAAAGCAGUGAACCCUUGCUCUCUGGACCUGCGCGUUGUUUCGCCAUCCCUUUUGAAGUAGAGUUUGCCAAGAACAAAUUCUCGCCCUAUCUUGGAUGCCCCCGUGCUCUUCCAUUUGGCACCACCUCCCAAUGCCUUCCUGCUAAUGGCACCGCCAUUGUCACCCUGAACGGUGAUUAGCGUGAAGAACACCAUGGCUUUCUGCAACAGAGCAGCUCUGCUCCACUCCUGGUUCAGUAGGCCACCUGUCAGGACAUACGUGAGGCGGAAGUCAGAAUGAUGAUUAGCCAAAAGUCCAAACCAUCCAGUGUGCAUGCAUGCAUUUCAGAUCCAAGGGUGAACGUGAAACCAUAUAUAUGCGCGCUACGAAAGCACCCAUAUAUAUGCCCCGUCCUGUACGUCACCGCUACGGCGAUACGAGUAUCCCUGAGGUAUUGUGAUUUUUUAUUUAAAACAAAAGAAAAAAAUGCCGAUACGCCGCCGACACGCCGGAGACAUCCCCUCAAGAAAAAAAACACGCCGGAGACACGAGAAACCCACUCCACCACUCGCAAAGUCGUAACCCUAUUCCCGCAAAAAAAAGAAGGUCGUAACCCUAAACAGCCAGCACUCUCUCUCUCUCUCUCUCUCUCUCUCUCUCUCUCUCUCUCUCUCUCUCUCUCUCUCAGUUUGUUGUGCAGCAGAUUGGAUCGAGGAUUUAGGCCGCUGCCUGGAUUCCGUCGCGGGCAUCUGGACUCGCCUCGCCGCCGCUUGGAGUGUCCGCCGCCGCCGCCUGUUGGCCGUCACCAACAAGGUAUCCUCCGGCCGGCCCCUUCCCAAUCUCUGCUCUCUUCCGGUGGUGUCUCUGGUCCUCCCGCUCUUGCUGGCUUGCUGCGAGCUGAUUCUGGGUGUGCUUUGUGCGUGCUGAUUCUGGGUGUGCUUGCUGCUGAGUGCGUGUGUGCUGGCUGUUAGUUUGUGCUUAAUUACUGCGGCGUGCGUGCUUGCUAGUUGCUGCUCACCUGCUGAUGCUGCGGUUAGUGCUAGGGAGUGAAAUACUGAUAAUUUUUAGUUGAGAGGCUGGGAAGCAUCAAGCAUGUAUCAUUGAGUAAGCAAGCAUUCCCGGGCCUAGAUCGCUGUCGAUCAAGGUAGCAUUAAUCGGAGCGGGAAGAGUGCUAUCUAGUAGUACUACUUACUUUGCUGUUGCCAGGCCGGGUAGGAGUCGUAGAUGCGGAGCCAAGGGAUUUCUCCUUGGCCGCUGAACCUGGCAAGAAACUCCCCCAGAGCUUCGAUGGUCGAGGCAUGGCCGUCGCGGCUGAGGCGGCGGGGAAACUGCAAGAUGCGUCUCUCCAGCCGAUUCUUUUCAGUUAUCAAGUCCGGCAUGGGGUCGACGGAGACGGCAGCGCAAUGGUGCCCCGCCAUAUAUAUGGCAUGCAGGAAACGCCCUCAACUUGGACCCUCUCUUUCUCAGCUCCGAUAUGCUAUAUAUAUGGGAGCGGACGGCCGACUAAAGUUUGAGUAGAAUGUGUGUUCCCUCAAAAAAAGAAGUUUGAGUAGAAUGUGGAUGCCCUCUUCCUGCCAUAUUUAUGCUAUAGAUAUGUGGGAGCCCACGCAAUAGUUGGGGUGGAUCUUGGAACACAAGCAGGCAGGCAUGCAUUCAGGGUCCAACAUGCAUGGGAGGUAAACUUUGCAUUUCUGCUUUCUUGUCAGGCCACCAUCGGAAAGGAGGAAGAUCUAAAGUUCGGGCGGGUUGAGAGCAGCAUCGGAAUAAUCUCUCAGGCUAUAGGGGCACUAGGGGCUCAGCCCCUAGUGCCCAACUCUACUACUCUAAAAGAUCACGAUCGAAGCGAACUUUUGAGACAGGGCAGCAUUCGCCAGAACCAAUGCAAUGUAAUAGCCGAAUAGUCUAAACUUGUACCGUAUUAGACUCGAAAACACAGCCAACCGAAAGAACUAAAACAACACAAGUUUAGAGCCCAUGUUGAUUUGGAGGACGUACGUACACAGGCAGUGUACACAGAAGAGCUAGCAGUUCACCCCUGAUAGCUUUUGGCCCUUUCUCUUUGGGGGGGUUGGUUCCAAGCCCGAGGCAGCUUUUGGCUUUUCGUCAAUUCCCAUCUCCACCCGGCGUAGAUGCAUCCAUAUUGCCAAAUGUGCAGUCGUCGAAGAGGGGGUCUUCGCUCACUUUUGCUCACUUUACCUUUUGCAGACAGGCUUGCGUUGCAUUGCAUGGUGACCUGCAUGUGGCCCCUUCACUCGCUUGUCCGCUCUUCCAACGUAGCAACGCUCCUUUGCUAUAGCCUCCCUGGGAUCUCGAAAGCGGCUAAAACAGUAAUGUGAAAGCACUUGAUAGAGAUAGUUAUGUGAAAGCACUUGAAAUCUUUUUUUUUGAAAGCACAAGAGGUUUUUCUUCUAAGAACACAAAAGUAUCCUUUUUGCAUGAAAAAAUAACAUGAACACGCAUACAAACAUCGAUGUACCGUACGUGCACUGUAGCUAUUCUACAAAUAAAUAUCCAAAAAUAUACUAAUUGGUUUAUUUGCAUGGGACAACCAGGAGGGAAAUCAGCAUUGGGGUACUGCUUGGGCCCACGUAGAUUCAGAAAAGAAAUGGCAUAUCCAUGGUCCCCCGUACUGUUCUAGAAUUAGCUUAAUCUUUAAAGUUUGAGUGAUAAGCUGGCUCGUAUCCCCAUGGAAGUAGUAUUAAUCGGACGGCACCGAGCGUGGGUGCGGGUGGACCAUGGUCCAGAAUCACACCUCUCCGGCUAAAACGAUCUGUGAAAACUAGGGUUAAGCGUGUGCACACCCUAACCGAAUACACAACACGCACGCCUACACACCCUGACAAAUACAACACAUAUACGGUUGGGAAACGCUUCCAGCCGGGGCGCCGGCCGAAAUUUCCGCCGGCCUCGCGCGGGUCGUUGGAUGCAUCUCAAUCGAGCGGCCCUAUUUUACCUUCGCGUGUGUCCCCAUCGACCACUUUUCUUCUUCUUGCUUUAUCUCUUCGCGUAGCCUCAUCCUCCCUUUCUUCUCGCGUGUCCCAGGCUCCACCUACCACAUGACCGCCAUGGAUUGUGUCAGCCGAGCUCAUGCCCUUCCUUCCCCUCUAUCUCUCUCUCUCUCUCUCUCUCUCUCUCUCUCUCUCUCUCUCUCUCUCUCUCUCAGACCGCUUUUCCCGCCAUAGCUCGCCUCUUCCUCCUGGAUUGCGUCGGCCGAGCCCGCCGCUUUGCUGGAUCCGCGACCAUGGCGAGCUGCGAUGGUCACCGUGGGGUGAGCUACAACGGCGGCGUGACGAGCAGGGGCCAUGACCACGGGAUGUUGGGACCACUGGCGCGCAGAAGCUGCAACCUCGUCAUGGGGAGCCGCAACCGUUGAUGCCAGGAGCUACAACCCCUGCCAGCAGAGCAACAGGGACUCAGUAGUCACCGCAGGCACCGCGGUCACCAUGGCCGGUUCCAGCAAAUGUGACUGCUGGUUGCAGCAAACGCGGGCAUGGGUUCCAGCACAAAAUCUCGCUAGUUCCAACACCCGUUGGCCGUGGUUUUUGCUGGAGGUGACUGGCUGGUUGCAGCAAAUGCGGCCACUGGUUCCAGCAUCUGCGAGAUGCGGUUCCAGCAAAUCAUCUCGCUGGUUCCAACAUUUUUCCAUCGAUGUGUCUUUUGCUGGAGACGACGUGGGGGCAUUGUUAUUUUUGCUGGAACCGGCAGCCGCACUGCUACAAUUGUUGGCGCAUUUUGCUACAACCAUCGACGAGGACAAAGCUGCAAUGGCGGGGCGGCGAGGCACCAAGGUGCAACGGCGGGGCGACGAGGUUGAAGGGAGCGACGCCGUGUUGGAACGUCGAGGCAACUUUCCUGCAACCUUAGACGGAUGAAGCUACUAGGGCACGGUUGUGCUGCGGCGAGGGAGGCGUAAGUUUUGCUGGAGCCGGCGGCUUGAUUGGCAGCGAGCACGGCUCGGUGGGGGCUGGAGCAUCACCGCCGGCCAAGUCCCACGUUCCUUGGCCAUGGAUUGUGUUGACCAAGUGUUCGGUAGAGAUGGGGAACGAUUCACUCGCGAAUCAAGCGGUUGGUGUGGGCCUAAUCAAACGGUUGCGCGGUGACCGGCCGAAAUUCGGCCGGUCGACCGGCGCCUAGUACUGCCCUAUACGGUUUAUAUUCUACAAUGUAUGUUUACAAUGUUUAACACUCCCCCUCAAUCACAACUAUCCAAGUUGAGAUUGCGUCAAAAGGCCUCAAGCUGCUUAAGAGUAAGAGGCUUAGUGAAUCCAUCUGCAACUUGAUCUCCAGUAGGUAUGAAGCUAAUAUUCAACAAUUUAUCUGCCACCCUUUCGCGAACAAAGUGAUAGUCUAUUUCAAUAUGUUUAGUCCUGGCAUGAAAGAUGGGAUUAGCAGACAAAUAUGUAGCACCAAGAUUAUCACACCAAAGUGAUGCAGCCUUUGGAUGACAAGCACCCAAUUCUGUCAGCAGAUUCUGAACCCAAAUAAUCUCUGCAGUGGCAUUGGCUAGAGCCUUAUACUCAGACUCUGUGCUUGACCUGGAAAUAGUGGGUUGCUUGCGAGCACACCAAGAUAUCAAGUUACCUCCAAGAAAUACUGCAAGCCUCCUGUUGAUCUUCUGUCAUCAGGACAGCCUGCCCAGUCUGCAUCUGAAAAGGCACUUACUAGCAUUGAAUCUGACUUACCAAGUCUGAGGCCAUGACCCUUGGUUCCUUGAAGAUAUCGAAGUAUCCUCUUAACUGCUGUCCAAUGCACACUAGUAGGGGCAUGUAAGAACUGACAAACUUUGUUUACUGAAUAAGAAAUAUCUGUCCUAGUCAAAGUCAAGUACUGAAGUGCUCCUACAAUGCUCCUAUACCUGGUUACAUCCUCUGCUCCAAGUGCUUCUCCAUCAUAAAGAGACAGUUUUUCAGAAGUAGACAAAGGCGUGGAUGAAGGCUUGCAACCCUUCAUGCUUACUUUCUGAAGUAUUUCUUGCACAUAUUUCCCUUGUGACAACAUAAUCCCAUUCUUAACAUUUUUUACCUCAAUUCCAAGAAAGAAAUGAAGGCUACCAAGGUACUUAAGUGCAAACUCCUUGCCCAAGUCCUUGAGGAGGGCUUCAACAGCAUUAGGUGAAGAACUUGUAACCACAAUAUCAUCAACAUAAAUGAGCAUAAAAAUGGUAAUCAUAUGCCGAUGAUAAAAGAAAAGUGAGGUGUCCCCCUUGGAAGGAGAGAACCCUAGAGAUUGUAACUUUGAUGACAAUCGAGAAUACCAAGCCCUAGGUGCCUGUUUUAAUCCAUAGAGUGCCUUAUCAAGUUUGCAAACAUGACGUGGAAACUUUAAGCUUUCAUACCCAGGAGGUUGUUUCAUGAACACUUCCUCUUCCAGAACACCGUGCAAGAACGCGUUCUUUACAUCUAGCUGUCGAAUGCACCAGUUUCUAGACACUGCAAUUGAGAGGAUUAAUCUGAUAGUAGCUGCUUUGACUACAGGACUAAACGUGUCCUCGUAAUCAAUCCCAUACCUUUGCUUAAACCCUUUGGCAGCCAAGCAUGCCUUAUACCUGUCAACAGUGCCAUCAGAUUUCUGCUUGACCUUGUAGACCCACUUGCAGUCAAUGACAUUCCUCCCCUUGACUGGAGGAACCAACCGCCAUGUUUUGUUCUUCAUAAGAGCAUCAUAUUCCUCAUCCAUGCCUCCUUCCACCGACGUUCUCCUAGAGCUUCUUCCAAGUUUUGCGCGGUUCACCUGUGGCACAAAAGGAGCCCCAACGAACACAACCAUCUUUAUAAAGCUUAGGCUUAAUAAUACCACUCUGUGACCUGGUGUGGGACCGUGGAGGAGGAGGCGGAGCUGGACGUGAGAUAUGAUGUUGAAGACGAUUUGAAGAAGAAGACACAGCGGAUCCGGAAUCCGCAGAAAAUCCACCAGAGGACUCCUGUUGGAGCUCCUGUGAUGGCUGAAGCAGAUCAGCAUCGAGGCGCGCGCCAGCCUCCCCGAAACUGCCACUUGGAGCCAUCAGCGACGCGGCAGGCGAUGGAGCACGAUCGCCCAAUCGGGCAGCCCCGCUCGUCCCAGAGGGCAGCCGACCGAGGCCAUGCAGUGGGGACCCACCUGGUCCCGCCGCAGGCGCGGGAGGUGGCCGACCGACGCCAUGCAGAGGGGACCCACCUGGUCCCGCGACAGGCGCAGCCCGCGGGUUGGGCAGCGGCGCGGAUCCCGCAGGUGAUCCGCCUGACAUGCCUGACGUAGCAGAUCCCGACGGGAUCCCGCCCUGAUCCACUCCGGGAUCAGCAUGCAGAUCUUCUGCGGCUGGAAAUGUAGACUCCGUGGCCUGCAUAAAAUCAUGCAGAUUUUCUUCCAUGUUUGCACUAUUAUCCUGCACACUUUCAGCAGAGUUUUGAUCAAAGGAAUUAUUGGGCAUUGACACAUGAUCAUCAGCAUCGUCUACGCCCCCGAGGACAAAGUUGGGUGAUGGCAGGAGAUGGGAGGGAAGAAGAACAAGUUCUUUACGAAGUUGUGCGCCGGCGCUGGGGUGAAGUUUUGCAGAGGGAAAAACUUGCUCAUCGAAAACCACAUCAAGGGAGACGUAGAUACGACCAGUGGCAACAUCCAAACACUUGUAGCCUUUGUGAAGACUACUGUACCCAAGAAGCACACACUGUUUCGAGCGGAACUCAAGCUUAUGUUUAUUGAACGGGCGAAGGUUGGGCCAGACGGCACAACCAAAAGUGCGAAGGAAGGUGUAAUUUGGUUUAGUGCCAAAAAGAUGCUCAAGACGGGUCUGAUUAUUGAUGACUCUACUAGGAACACGAUUUAUGAGAUACAUCGCCGUGAGAAAUGCCUCGUCCCAAAAUUUUAGAGGCAUAUAGGCAUGAGCAAGAAGGGAGAGACCAACCUCCACAAUAUGGCGGUGUUUACGUUCAGCGGAUCCGUUUUUCUGAUGAGCAUGUGGACAGGAGACAUGGUGAGUGAUGCCUAUGCGCUCAAAAAACGAAUGAAGUUUUUGAUAUUCACCGCCCCAGUCCGUUUGCAUGGCAAGAAUUUUGCAAUCAAAAAGACGUUCAACAUGUUGCUGAAAGAGAUGAAACUUUGCAAACACAUCAGAUUUAUUCUUAAGCAAAUAGAUCCAACUGAACUUACUAAAAUCAUCAAUGAAAGUGACAUAAUACUUUCGUCUGCCAACAGAAACGGGUCCAGGACCCCAAACAUCUAAAAAAACUAGCUCUAAAGGAUCCUUUGAUUCACUAGUAGAGCGAGAAUAGGGAAGUUGAUGGCUCUUGGCCAUCUGACAUGAAUCACACACAAGAAGAUUAUCUUGUUUAUUCGAUACUGGAAGAUUAAAAUCUCGAAGAAUUUUCUGGACCACCGGAAAGGCAGGAUGCCCUAGGCGUUUGUGCCAUCUUGAAGUAGAUGGGUUGACCACACUGAGGGCUUGUCGAGGAGGAGCAUCAUGGCGGCCAGAAACAGGAAACAGGCGACCUCUAGUCCUAUUUUGAAGAAUGGUUCUCCGAGUGGCCCGAUCCUUAGCAAAAAAAAAUCGGGGUAAAUUUCCAAGAAAGCAUUGUUAUCUUUGAUAAGAUUAUAAGCAGAAAGUAGGCUUUGAUCGGCUUGAGGAGCAUGAAUGAUAUUAUUCAGUUGCAAGGAGCCAUGAGGGGUAGUAAGAACCGAAUGACCAAUGUGGGCAAUGUCCAUACCUUGACCACUCGCAGUGUGGAUUUGUUCCGUGCCGGUGUAGCGGUCGUGAAACGCAAGUUUCUCCAGUUCUCCCGUCACGUGAUCUGUUGCACCAGUGUCGAGAUACCAAUUGGUAUCAACUCCGUAGGAGUGGGCUGCGUUUGCCGAGCGGUGUCCUCCACCACCACCGCCUCCUGCGGGGUUGCGGACAUUGUUGUUGAAGUUGCGAUCGAAGCGUUUCUUGCAGCGCCAUGCGCCGUGCCCUUCAAGCUUGCAAAUCUGGCACUUCUCGCGCUCGCGGUCACCGCGGUCACCACCUCCUUGCCGUGGACCACCGGGGUUGUCAGGGUAGUGAGCGCCCGCGUUGUUGUUGAUGUAGCCGCGGGAGCCACUUCCACUGUUGCCGCCGCCCCUUGCGUUGCCGCGACCUCCACCCCGUGCCGCCAGAUUGGCGGAGUGGAAGGCGGUGUUUUGGGCGGCAAUGCGGGCUUCAGCCGACAGCAGCAGGGAGAAGAGCUCGCUGAGACCGAUUGGCUGCUCGGUGGCGGUGCGGGUGGAGAUGGUCGAGACGAAGCCGUUGUAGUCGGGUUCGUGGAGAAGGCCUUGCAGGAUGUGAUCGACGACGUCGUCUUCAUCCAGGGGCUUGCCUGCGGCUGCCAACUCGUCGGAGAUGAUCACCAUCUUGGUGAAGUAGGCAGCGGCGGACAUGUCCCCUUUGCGGGUGUGCUUGAUGGCGGAGCGGAGCUGGAUAACCCUCGCCCUUGACUGCGAAGAGAAGCUCUGCAGCAGGCCAGAUCGAGGCGGCGGUGGUGUGGGAGCUGACGUGUAGUAAAACCUCACGGGAGAGCGAUGAGAUCAAAAACGUGAGGAUUUGCUGGUCUUGGGUAACCCACACAGCGUUCUCAAGGUUCGGCGAGGAUGUGAUCUCCUUCUUGCCGGCGACGUCCUUCUCGGAGUUCAGCACGGCGGCGGGCUCCUUGAUCGAGCCGUCCAGAUAGCCCAUCAGCCCCGCCCCCUUGAUGUGUGGCAAGACCUGUGCCUUCCACAGCAGGAAGUUCUCUCGGGUCAGCUUUUCGGUGAUGGUGUGACCGAGAGAGGCGAUGGAGGGCGUGGCCAUGGCGACGGAUGAGGAGGAGCUCGACAUCUAGAUGUGUUGGAAAAGGUAGCCUCUGUAUACCAUGUGAAAACUAGGGUUAAGCGUGUGCUCAAUGCAGGGACGCGUGCGUGUUGAUAUAAGGGCCGAAGCCAGGAAUAGAUACAAGGUUAGUUAGGUCUCGGAUUGAUCUCCAAGUUAGCUAACAACUAGAUAAGAUCAUAUCUCAGAGACCUAACCGAAUACACAACACGCACGCCUACACACCCUGACAAAUAUAACACAUAUACGGUUUAUAUUCUACCGUGUAUGUUUACAAUGUUUAACACGAUCGAUCUUGUGCUGCCACGGUAUUGCAAUAUCAUUGAAAUUAGGGACCAGCUAUAGAUCAGUUGACUGAAAAUUCUAAAAAAAAAAUUACCUUUUUUGCAUGCAGUACUAGAGUGUGUGGUGUGCUGUGUGCGUGCCGCGCGUGAGCUAGGUAGCUAGCUUCGGAUGCUUCAGCUUGGUCGUGCUGUGCCAUGACAGUGGAGCUAGCACGGCCAUGACAGAAACAAUGGAUCUAGCUAUCACGAACAUUAGAGCACGCCCGCGGACACUGACCGGGCACUCCCUAUAUCUGCGCCUCCGCACCCGCGUAUCUCAUAUUUCGUCCUCUAUAUUCAUACUAAACCUUGCAACGUCAAUAGAAACUACGUAGAUCAUAAGCGGACAUACAAAUGCACAUUCGGUUCAUCAAAAGAUCACAGCCGGAUCAUCAAAAGAUAGCCAAAGUUUACAUAAUACGGCGGACAAAUUCAAACUACAUCUAAAAACUUGAAAUUAAGACGGAUCUUCACCACUUCCUCGCCGGCCCUUUGCCCUUCCGAUCGCCGGCGCAACUGUAGGAGUCCGGAGCAGGAGGUGGGUCCACGUCGGACCCCUCGGAGGAGGAGGAAUCGGAGAUGACGAUGUAGCCUUGCAAGCGUCGAAUGACGCGGUCUUGCUUGUGCUUGAGCUUGGCCACCCUCGUCGCCACCCUCGCCACCUCCCGCUCAUAUUGCUCAAUGCCGAGCCGGAGCUGCUCGGCGUUGAGCCUCCGGAGCCGUCGGGCCUUCGUCUCUGCCUCAGUCAGUGACCGGUGGCACGCCCACUCGAAGAGACAGUCCUCCUCGUCGGGCACCCGGCAGUGGUGGGCGGACUGCACAGACCCGUCGGACCCGCCCGCCAUCUACCUUGCCCUCUGCCUCUUGCGGCGGGCGGCACAUGCCUUCGACUCCGGAGUCUACAUCCGCGGCGUCGGCGGCGCGGGUACUAGAACCCAAUGCUGCCCGCACGGAGUAGCGGUCGGAGGGGAGGAGGUCGUCGGGCGGGUGGAGCAGAUCGGGCAGGCCUCGCAGAUCCAUGCGCGGGUCGGGAAGGGUCGGCGCUGCAGCGACAGGCGGCAGGUGGCGUCGCACGGGACACGGAGCUGCCGCCCGUAUCGACACGCGAGCGCUCGAGCGUGAUACAGAGCGCUAGUUCCUCCUUGUCUCCGAAGCUGCCGUUGGAGUGGCUGCCGGUUUUGGACAUGCUUGUCGGCACUAGGGAUUUGACGGAUUGGGGAAACGAGAGCGUCAGAGAGGGGAGCGGAGCGGAGUGAGUUAGGGUUUCUGCCAGACAAGGGUGUUUGUGGGGUCGGGGUGGGCCAACGGUGGGCCGGGCUCCGGGCCGCCUCAUAUCCAUCCCUCGGCCAGCCACCAAAACCGCCCAGCAGGAAACCGACAUUGCAACGAAGGAGGCGACGACCUACUCCUCCUCGGCUCCUCCGGUACCGGUUCUCUAUUAAAAGGAUGACUUAAUAUCCCUUUGUUUCCUUAUGGACCUCUGCCACGGGAGGGUAGGACAAAAAAUGUCGUGCAAUUUUUUUUUCCAUAAGAACGUAUAACUAUAGACGGAAUAUGUGUCUACAUUACAUUGAUGAAUUAGAGUUAGUUCUGUGUCGUCCUAGGUUAUGGUUGUUAUAUAUAUGAUGAAUAUUAUCCAAUGAAAUCAUCGAUCCAAUGCCUACAAACUUUUUACAUAUUGAUCUUUGCUAGGUUACUAUUGUUGCUGCUACUGUUACAACUGCUACAAAAUUGUUGCUACUGUUGUUACUCUCACUAUUGAUAUUGUUACUAUCGCUAUCAAAUUAUCAUACUAUUGUGCUACUGAUCAUUCUACUGCAGAUAUUUAGUUCCCUGGAUGUGAUUGAAUUGACAACUCAACUGCUAAUAGUUAUAAAUAUUCUUUGACUCUCCUUGUGUCGAAUCAAUAAAUUUCAGUUGAAUACUCUACCCUCGAAAACGGUUGCGGUCCCCUAUACUUGUGUGGUUAUCACGCCCGUGACGCAGCGGUGGCCGGCCAGCACGCCCGUGACGGCCGUGUGGCUGGGCGGCCGGCCAACACGCCCGGACGCGCAUCCGCGGCCUCGCGCGCGUCCACCUGUGAUUCAAAGGCUGUUGCGCUCGAGAUGUGGUGUGGCUUCUUGCCUCCGAGCGAGCUAGUUCGCGGUGGCCAGUGCGGCCGCGGAUGCCAGUUCAAGAAGGCCAGCAUGCGCAGCGGCCUCGCAGGCCAGCACACACAUGGAAGCCAGCAUGCGCGGCGGUGCGCACGCGGAGGCCAGGUCAGCCGUGUGGCGCGCCUCAUGCCCAAGGGAACUCCGCCCAUGCCGCUGUCGUCGCGGGCUCCGGCAAGCCCUCCUUUAUAGCUUCAGUCGUCGCGAUGCGCUUCCUCCUUCGCCUGCGCCGUGACCGGUAGUGCCGGUUCCUCUCGAGUUCAUCCAGAGAGAGAGGGGGUGGGGGGGUGGCUGCAUGUGGGGUCAAACGGGCUGGCUAUGACGUGGAGGGAGGUGCCCGGGGCAGCCGCAUAUUGCUCCUAGAUUUUUAAGAUGGGUUUAAGGUACGCCGAUCAGUCCGGACUUCUAAGAGACUGAGGGGUCCUGUUGGGUCAGCCCUUUUUGACCGGGCACUGAUUGGGCGGACAUUUAGGAGGAGAAUAGGGGGUCCGACAAAAAAAUUGAAGUGGGAGUUAGCCAAGGAACAUUCGCAUGCAUAUAAGGUAGGUUUCAACAUCCGACAUGCCCGAUAGUUAUUAUUUCGGAUUAACAAGUUUGAUACAUUAUGCAUGAUAAUGGGGUUCGAUAACGUCGAUGACAGGUUAAGGUAAAAGUCGAUAACGGGCUCGUAUAAGUGUUCAGCAACAUUAUGUGCUGUACUUCGGUUUCAGCAUCAUUGCUGAUAAAUCCAAAUUCAGGUCCUUCAUUAUAAAUCUUCAUUGUAGCAGUUUGUGUUGUGAAAUCUUUUUUUUUUCGGAACACAUUUACAAUGACUGAAACAAUCAACAAUGUCUGAAAACCUUCAAAGCAGGACUUGUCUGAAUCCAAAAAGGCUUUCCAAGUUCUGAAAUUUGUUCCCAAAUGUGAGGAUUUGUAAAGUCUGGACCUGUGUGUUUUUGUUUGGAAGCCCGUACUGGACUUGUUGCUCAUAUUAUUUUGUUCUGAACUUCUGAAAUCAAGGGGACAAAUUUGUCCACGCAUGGUGCUAUCUGCCAUGAGAGAAUUGCUCCAGAAACAAAAAAAAGUUCCUACUGACAGCACGUUAACUUCACACAAGCACACAGGCAUACAAGUAACGAUGAACAUUAACAGACACAAUAAUUGCCAAGGUUCACUUCAGUUCUGACAUUAAAACGAGGCAAGUACUCAGCUAGAGUUAACCAAGGUUCAACAUCCUGACAUGAGGGGCAGCAAAACGAUAACCGGAAAACAUUUUAUGUCUACUGAUUUACCCAGACAACGAAAGCGGCGAUGACAGUCUUACGAGCUCUAGUUCUUGAUCUUCUUCUUGGGCCUCAGCUGGUUGCUGUGGCCACACUUCUUCUUGCGGCAGUUGACAGCCCUUGGAUGCAGCCUGGCGUAGCACCUGAGGAAAGAUGGAACAGGAAUUUAGCUGAUAUGACAAAUCACAAAGGAUGCAGGCAAUUAUGCUAAAUGGUAAAUCUUUAUAGGAGACAAGUAGGGAGACACAAAUUCAUGGUAACUGACAAGAGAAUUCAAUCAGAACAAAAUGCAAGAAGAUUGGCACAAGAGAAUUCAAGUUCAAGAAGAUUGGCUGGUCAGACAGAAUUUAUGCCUCAAAUGGUUGUAGCUCAUAAGGUGACCCCUCGUACAUCUAAUUGGAUCAUCAUUCCAGCCAACGCAACAAUUGUUUGAGAACAAUACACAGAAAGCAAAUUAUUUGCAAACAAGUGAAAACAAUCCAAGAUCAGCCAAGGACAGUAACUUGAAUGUGUCAUAUGACAAGAAACAAAAACUAUUUAACACACGUUUCUAGGUUCAUGAUGUAGCAGAUUGUUCGAGGCCAUCAGAGCACAGAAAAUCUAAGCGGCACGGAGAACUGCACUUGUUAUCGCCAACCUUCAAUGCAAAGAUUCGCCACUAUAUCAGGCCCCUUUGCUCUGCAAAUUGGCUAUCUAUUUCCAAAAUUUCCAGACUAACGAGUAUUAAUAACUACAUAUUUUUUAGAGUGGUUAAACAUGUAGCAGAUUGUUCGAGGCCGUCAUAGCAUAGAAAAUCUGAGCAGCACGGAGAACUGCAUUCUGUAUCGCCAACCUUCAAUGCAAAGAUUCACCACCAAAUCAGGCCCCUUUGCUCUGCAAAUUGGCCAUCCAUUUCCAAAAUAUUCCUACCAACAAUGAAAUGACAAAUAUAUAUUUUUGGAUUGGUUUGUUAAGUAGCUCCAUGCUAAAAUUUGAUUGACUACCAAAUGUUUUGGAUUUGUUUAUGAUGUAGCAGAUUGUUCGAGGCCUUCACAGCAGAGCAAGUCUGAGCGGCACGGAGAACUGCAUUUGUUAUCGCCAACCUUCAAUGCAAAGAUUCACCACUAUAUCCGGCCCCUUUGCUCUGCAAAUUGGCUAAUCCAUUGCCAAAAUUCUCAAACUUAAGUUUAAUGACUAAAAGAAAUUAGAUUAGUUUGUUAUGUAGCAGAUUGUUCGAGGCCAUCACAGCAGAGCAAGUCUGAGUGGCACGGAGAACUGCACUCGCUAUCGCCAACCUUCAAUGCAAAGAUUCACCACUUAUCAGGCCCCUUUGCUCUGCAAAUUGGCUGUGUAGUUGCAAAAUAUUCCAAGCUACAUUGAAAUGACUAAUAAUUUCUUUAGAUUAAUUUGUUAUGUAGCAGAUUGUUCGAGGCCAUCACAGCAGAGCAAGUCUGAGUGGCACGGAGAACUGCAGAUGUUAUCGCCAACCUUCAAUGCAAAGAUUCGCCACUAUGUCAGGCCCCUUUGCUCUGCAAAUUGGCUAAUCGGUUUCCAAAAAUUUCAAACUAACGUUUAAAUGACUACAGGUUAUUUUUUAGAUUGCUUCAAGAUGUAGCAGAUUGUUCGAGGCCGUCACAGCAGAGCAUGUCUGAGCGGCACGGAGAACUGCAUUUGUUAUUGCCAACCUUCAAUGCAAAGAUUCACCACUAUAUCAGGUCCCUUUGCUCUGCAAAUUGGCUACAUGCUCCAUAAUUAUUCCGACCCAAGUUUGUAUGACUCCAAACAUCAGACGUACGGGGACUUAGCUCAUCUAACCGAAUCAUCAUUCUAACCAUCACACUCGCACAAGCAUAACACAGAUGCAAACAAACUAUACCGAAACUAGCCAAUAUAGCAAUCAGAAACCAAAGAAUGAUGCGCCACACAACACAAUAGGGAAUUUCCCCGCCGUUGAAAAUCAGCUGCUGAAACGUGCGAGGCAGGAGACAAAGUAUAGGCGGGCGGUAAAUCUCCCCGCCAUUGAAAAUCAACUGCUGAAUGGUACUACGCAGAUGACAAAGUAUAGGCGGGUGAGUAAUCAAUCAGCCAACAACAAUCCCUCAAUCGUCUACGCAUCCCAUCGUCCAUACACGAAUCGAGCAUAAUCACAAAGAAUAAGCAAUCGGCGAGAUGUAAUAAACGAAGAAAAGAUGGGAGUAAAAUAUUCUUACUUGCGGCAGAUCAUCUUCUCCUGGUUGUACUUGCGGGCGAGGGCCUGGAGCGAGGGCUCGAUGAUGCCCCCGCGCAGGCGGAGCACGAGGUGCAGCGUCGACUCCUUCUGGAUGUUGUAGUCGGCCAGCGUGCGCCCGUCCUCCAGCUGCUUCCCCGCGAAGAUCAGCCGCUGCUGGUCCGGCGGGAUCCCUGCACACACGCCCACACAACACCACAAGAAAAUCAAGAAUCAGAAAAGCUCGACGGCCGGCCGGCCAUGGCCAAAGAAGAGAUCUUUCUUUGCGAAAAGAAGAAAUAAAGAACUGACCCUCCUUGUCCUGGAUCUUGGCCUUGACAUUGUCGAUGGUGUCGCUGCUCUCGACCUCGAGCGUGAUGGUCUUGCCCGUCAGGGUCUUGACGAAGAUCUGCAUCUCG